CUCGGAGGAGUUCUAUGUGCUAUUCCACACCAGGGUCUGUACAACAUAUCGUGCAUUCUUAUUCAGAAAGCAAAAAAACACAUCUUCCUCUUCUUCCUCGUCUGAUUAGGGUAAUCCAUCCUGGCUCCUUUAAAUCUUUUUUCCCUUUUCCAUGGUGGAUAUUUAAAAGGGUAGGGAAGAGGAGAUGUUGAACAUAACUUGAGCCAGGUUUUUAAUUUAUUAUUUUUUUUUUUUGUAAUCAUGAAAUGUCGGAUACAUAAAGCCACUGCAGGCAACAGAAUGUGGAAAUCAGGGAACAUGGAACAGAGCUGUGAUUUCUAUGCAUGAAAUAAAACCACACAGAAUAAUUCAGAUCCUCAAAAUUCUCCUCUUUGCUGAUACUACAGUAUAUCCAUCGAAAAGGUGGACUUGGUAUUAAAAAGUAGGUAAUUGGUUGGGCAAGCAAUACAUGCAAGCAGAUCUAACGUGUGCCCAUUGUUCAUAAACUGAAUAAGGUUGUAAUACCAAAUACGCUAGAUAUAAAAACUUACUAGGAUAAGUGUAUCAUCAGCAGGCCCAGGUAAUCCUUUGACAACCAUGUCUUUUGAUAUAUAACCUUUACCCCCUAUCCAAUCAUUUGUUGGAUUAUCAACUGUGUAAUGUAUCUGACAAAUUGAGGUGCAGAAAAGGAUUACAAUGCAAGUAAGAAACAGAAUUUGGGAGCGGGGACGUAAUAAAAAACACUAGAGAUAUUUCUGCCAAUACCGUCAGAUUUGGGUGGCUAGCUGCUAGUACAUCAAGCUUCUUUUUGAGAAGAAUGUCGUCAGGGGAUACAUUAGCAUAGAGCAGUGAGACCUAAAAAGAAGAAGCACUCAUCAAAAAGCUGUUAUUCAUAAUUAGACCCAUUGAAAGAACAUCUGGUAUGAUGAUGGACAAAGCUGCCACACAACUCAAAACUAGGUAUCAAGUGCACUAUAUAUCCAUUAAAGAUUUGCAGAAUAUGCCGACCUGGGUGUUGUCAUCAGGAUUCUUAAGGAUAGCAUCUAUAAUCUGAAGCAUUGGUGUGAUGCCAGUUCCCCCUGCAAUCUGGAAAGAAAAACAAUGUACUUAACAUCCAAAUUUGGAUAACGACACAGCUUACUAACAGAUUAAGACAUUGCAACCGUUUCCCAAUAUUAAAUGAACAACUGAACAGAGAGAGUAAUGGUUUACAUCGACAUGUCCACAAGUUAAUAGACUUACCAUGCCAAUGUGUUUCUUCAUGUUUGGGCUAUAUCUGAGCUUUUCAAUGGGCCUGCAAGAAAGGUACUCAAUCAGAUGCUCACAGAAUGCGCAGAUAGUCUAUAUAAAUAUGCAUUGAGAUUUAGCAGAUAAGAUAACCAGCUUUCUUUGCUAAUCACCUCAAUAACUUACCCCUUCACUUCCAUAACAUCACCUGGCUUUAAGCUUGCAAAAUGCUGACUCAUUUUCCCUUCUGGAUACACCUAUAAAAGUUGGCAACAAUAUAGGAUUACAAUUGUAAUCGAAUCCAAUAUUUAGCCAUCUACUGAGAGAGAAAAUGAAGGCAUACCUUAAUCAUCAAAUCAAAGUACCCCUUGGCAUCUGGAUCAGAUAUUGGUGUAUAACUGAAGAUAGAACACUCCUCAGAAGACGUGUGAUCGGUAAAACAUAGCUCAUAUAUAACGUUCAAAAGAAUGUCAGGAUUGGGAACUUUUCAUGAUUUAACAUGCAAGAACAUUAAAUUCUAGAUUUUCUCUUGAAGGAUCAGCAGUGUAUUUAUAAGCGAUUUCCAUGACUCUGUAGUGAUGAUAAUUUCAAUACAAUUACAUGCAUAACAGUGUUUCUAAUGUAUAUACCGCGGAUUCAAGAUCUUGAGCAUAUGGAGAAAACAUUCGACAGAAGCAUCCAGCCUCUUGAACAACAAACAUAGUUUUAUUGAAAAACAAUACCAGUUUUGGCAACAUAUGACAAAGCUAGACAAAAGCGUAUACCAGAAAACUGAAGAUUAGCAUAUAGAUUCAAAUUCACUUGAGCAAUAAACCAUGUUAUUUGCUUGAAGAAUGCUAACAGUUAAAAUGAAGGCCUUACGGGCGAAUGACAUAUUUUGUUUUCCCCUCAGCAUCUUGUCCAGUUGGUGCCCUAAAGAAAAAGAAUACUUAUCAGAUUUAUGGGAUAAUCUUUGAUUGUCCAACUUCAAGAAUAUUCAGGUUACUUAAAUUACAUUAUUUUUAACAAAAGAUUCUCUAGAUAUAGAUAGCAUACCUGGUAAGAAUGCAUGAUGCAAUAUCAAGACCUAAUCUCACAGAUGGAUCAAACGAAAACCUGCCAUUUGAGGGAAAAUACUAAUAUGUCAAAUAAUUAUAAAUAUCAACAUCUUUUUCACAAUCCAAAACAGGAAUGAAGACUGGGAAUUUACUGGAGUAGAACAUGUGCACUAGAUGAGCUAUAAUAUUACUUGAUAGCAGCAUAGGACACUGAGAAUAGUUAUUAACAAUUCGUUCAAGCAAGCUAAACAGUUUUCCAGUAUAAUGGCAAUGAAACAAACAAACCCUGCUAAACAACUAAUGAAAUAACAAUGCUUCUGCAGAAUUACAUAGAGAGAGAGAGAGAGAGAGAGAACCAUUCAUAACCCAGACCAACACAAAAGCAAAAUGCUUUUAUGCUAUUACCAUUUAGCAAAAGAUUUCACAAAGUGAAGUCAAAUUGCAUCAGCAGGAAGCCUGCUAGACCAAUUUCAUGGAUUACCUACCAGAUAAUUAAACCAGUUAGACUACGUACCUGAUUCAAACUUUAAAACUUUCUACGAGUUUAGAGAUUAUGGAGACUAACAUAAAUUUUUUCCUUGUUUAUACUAUCUAUUGUUUCCAUAAAAGACAAAUGAACAAAUACUGCAACAGCAUGUAAAUCUUUGGAGACCAAUUUUCUCCAAAAUAAAAAGCAUUCACACAAGAGAUUUCUUCAGAAGAGACACUCAUAAUGACAGUAACAUUUUUGGAUAUGCUUAUUCUAAAUUCCUCUUCAAGAUUUUGGCAAACUGGUUGCAUAUGUGUAUAAAAUCAAAUAUUUUGAAAGGAAAAACAUAUGUGAGACAUUUUCAAAUUUGGACAUAUGUUUUCAUUAACGAGAUCCAUUCUCUAUGUUAAAGUUUUCCAGGAGAGUACUGGGUAAGUCGGAGUCCAACUGGAGAGUCAAGAAAUGCAAAUCUUUUUUCUUUGUAAGGUAGAUUUCAUAAGUUUGAGACUAAGAUUACUCAUGAUAUACGUUAGAUAGCUUUAACCUAAAUAAGCUAGAAAAGAAGUUUUAGAUGUGUUAUUACGCUUCCAUACAUCCUCUGCUGCACAAAAUAGGAAAUUUCAUGAAGUUCAUGAGAAGUACUCCCAGUUUCUUUUGUUUCUUUAUUACCUCCAUAUGUAAUUGGUUUUCAAAUUCCACCCACUUCGUUAGCCAGCCAUGCCCCCAACAGUAUACUGUAGUGUCAAUGCAGAAAAACUAUAGGAAGAUAUUACGGAUUUCAAAAUGCACCGAGGGACUAAUAUGACAAUCAUACAGCCCGCUAGAUCAUGCAAGAAAAAAGAUAGAUUAGCAGCUCUAUUCUGCUCACAAAGCCAGAAGGCAACUUGACUUGCACCAUGACCCACGCUAGAGAAACUGAUUUCUAAUCAUAUUUAAAACUAAUUAGAGGAUGAGAAUGAAAUUUUAUACCAAUCCCCGCAGCUUUUAGAUAGUUGAUACUUAAUAUCUACAUGUAUGUGCAUUGCACGGUGGAAAAAUCUCACCUGAAUAACUGAGUAUUGUGGCUGACUUGUGCCUUGUCUUCCAGUUUGAAUUCAGUCCAUUUAUUAGGAUUAAGUGCUGAAAGAGACGAGCAAAGUUAAAGAGCAUUGAAGAAAAUUGCAAAGCAUCACCCUGGCAUGCAAUUUCUUAAGGACAAUGAAAAUCAUAUAUUUGCAUUGCCCUUGUGGGUUUAGCUAAUCGAUAUCUGCAUUAGCUCAGUAAGAGAGGAGAAGAAAACAACAAAAGAGUGUGAUCAACCUUGAGAUGGAGGGUGUGAAAAGCGGAAAACCAGUUCAAGGACAGUUAAUCACAAAAACCAAUCGUAUCCAAAUCAGAUUAUUUUGAGUAACAAUAAUCCUAUUGCCAAUACACUAAAGAACUUCACCAGAGGUGGAAGUAUGAACUUUCAACAUGCUAUUCUCUACCUCUUAUAGCUAUGCCUGAAACUCCAAAUAAACAUUACAUUUUAUUUUUUUUGAGCAAAUAACCUUUAGAGUUGAAGAUUUCAGAGAUGAAAUUUAACACAACCAAGCCCUUCCACAAUGACUACUAGCAUAGAGAUUCAAAACAUGGAACAUCGUCACAUGAAGAUAGGAAAUCUACACGUAGCUCCUUUGAUUGAGCAACUGGCAUGCCUAUUAGGUUCCUCCAUUUCACAAAUAGACAUACGACCUAUAUGCAUUUCUCUUCUGAACUUGAUGUUAGCCAUUACAUUGUUUACAAAAUUGCUCACAGAGAAACCAUGGUUUGUAAGCGAACCAGUAAUGAUACAUCGAUGAGGAUAUGAAACAUGAAUUCCCACAGUGGCAAUGCCGAAGUAAAACAUUUUUAAUCAUGUUGGCAAAUAUGUUGGCAUAGAGAUAUUCAUUUGAUUUGGGUCAUUAUGUUUAAAAAAAAACCCACCCAUUUUGGACCCAGUAUCAUCAGCGAUCUCAUCUAGGUACGCCUGCAUUACAAAAAGAAAAAAGAAAUUAGAGAGAAAGUUUAGAAGGAAAGUCCUGGCAACUUUUUCUAAAGUUAGAGACAGUAGUAACAUUCACUAAAACCUCCUUAUCCUAAUUUAAUCGUUUUAGGUGCUAAACCUGCAAUAGCACAAAUGAAAAGGCACCAAAGAGUAGCAAUGCAAAAUGGAUUAUGUAAGGCUUUUGUUGCAUGGUAGCAACACAGAAUUGGUAGCAGAAACUAAACAGACGGUCAAGGAUUGGAAUUUCUACAUUCCCUAUUGGAGUAGGGACAAUCGACAUGGAUAUGAGAGACUGUUGUUGGCCCAUUUUCCGAUUACCUUGCAUGCAAAAGUUGCAAACAUCAACAAACACAUAAACUCAAUGCUUAAUCAACCGAGCAGAAUUAAGCAACUCAAUGCUUAAUCACCAGAGAUUUUUUUGCUUUUUUCAAAAUUCCUUCUUUCCGCUGCGAAUUGGAGCACUCUUGACCCAAACUACACAGAAAAGACCUGAAUGACCUACAUUUUGCCGUGGUAAAAUCUAUCUUGACUCUCCUUCAUUGGGUAUCAACCGGAUGACCUACUCAUUUAAAAAUUUCAACCAAAAUAAAACAUGAAAUUCCAAAAAAAAAAAAGAGAAAAGAAAACUGAGCUGUGACGUGGCAGGCCGAGUGACCGAAACCCAGAUGAAAUAGUUGGGAGAAAUUACCACGGAUGAAGAAGAGAAGUAGUAAUAAUAGGAUAUGCCACCGGAAACCGCCGCAAUAGCUCCAAAGGGGAUACGGAAAUUGGGGAAAGUAGACUUGGAUUGGGCUAGAAAAGCUCCAUUGAAUGCGAUCAUCGGUGCAGCCUUCGUUGCCAAUUUCUUCAAUAACGCUGCCAUUUCUUUCUUCUUUUCUUCUUCAGGGCCGCCCUUUCUAGACUUUGCGGUAGCAGCAGUACUGAGGUGAAUGGUAGUCGUAGUGACUGCUAGAAGAGGCUGAACCUAGGAUGGCAGAGUUGGAAAUCUCCGACCUCCGGCGGAGAAUGUAUCUGGUGGGCUCGGGUUGACAAGGAUUCUGCUUACAACCGACACGCUGGUGUCUGAUGUGGUAAUGGUUAUGGAUUUCUGGUUUUGUUUUGGCAACCUCAACCUCUUAUUGUUAGUAUUCUGUAUUCAGAAAGAAAGUUGGGCUUUUCUUUCUUUUGGUUGGGAAGAAAAAACAAGGAACCGAAUUAUUUGACCAACCUGAAAAUGGUUCGUGUUGCUUUGCUUUCCAUUUUUUUUCCUUUUCUUUUUCAUAAGUGGUCGAGGAUGUAAGGAAACUUUUUUGUUUACGAUAAAAGAUGCAAGAAAACUUGUUUGGCAGACAAGCUUUUUGCCAAGAUUAACCUCAAACAACUUCUCAAAAUUUUUAAACUAUACAUUUCAAAAUAUUCAAAAAAAACACACUACAAAAUUUUUUAAAAAAACUUCUACAGUAAGUUACAAUAAAGUUUUAGACAAACACUCAAAAAACUCACUUACCAAACGAGUUCAAUUAAAUUUUUAUACAAUGCCAUUUUUACCUAUUAAACAGCCAAUUAGUUAUUUGAAUAGAUGAGCAAAUUUGAAAAUUACACAUAUGCUACUUACUUUUUUCUACUUCCAUUCAAUGUGCUACUUAUCUUUUUUGCUCCCAAACAAUUCAAAAUUCAAUUCUAAUAGUAUUUUGUCUUCCCUUCUUCUUUUCUUUUUUUUUUUUUUUUAAACUCACCUCAACUCCCAAACUAAGCAUAAAAGGAUCCUAACAAACAGUACCGUAAAUAGUGUGUUAUGCACAAUUAAAUCGCUUUUUUUCUUCCUUUCUUAUAGCCAACUAAAUUGUAUUUUUCAUUCAGCAUUAACAAGGAUUACAUCUACAAAUGAUUCUAGUUUCCGGCGAGUCAGAAACUAACAAAUUAAAAUUGAGCUUGAGCCAUUUGAGUGCAUUGUAAAAGUGAGUUCAACUUAAUAUGUUAAUGUGUGCUGCAGCUGAAAAGUGUCUGCUACUACAAGCUCAAGCAAGUCCAAGUGCUAAAUGCUUUUUCACCUAUGUUGCCUAUUAUUACUAAUGAAAUAGGAUGAACUGAUAAUACAGAACCUCUAGGCGUUACCUUUCGUUCGUUUAAUACUAGAAUCGACAAUUGAAACAUAAUAUCUGAGCUUGCAUUAAUCGAAAAUAUGCGACAAAGGGAUUGUGCUAUUUAAAAACCUCACAUUCAAGAAGCGUAGGUUUUUUUUGAAAAAAAAAAAAAGAACAUUCGUGUCUCUUUUAUAAGACUGAUGGAAAUGAAAAAUAAAGCAAAAAAAAAAAAAAAAAAUCAAACCGCAUAUCCCCAUAAUAGGAAAAUGUCUUGGGUCGAAUUUGACUAUUUUUUCUUCUACAACAUCUUGACAUGACAUGAGCUUGAAGGGUUCAAGAAUCAAUUUUCCUUUUUAUGAGGGCUAGAAUCACUGAUUUUAGUUUUUUUUUACCCCAUCUUGUAGGAUGGAUCUCGAAGGUGAACUUAGUCAAAUUCGUUUGAGUUUGAGUCGUUGAAUAAGCGUCCUCAAAUUAGACGAGCUAAACAUUCGGCUUGGUAUUCUGAAGUUGGCAUGUUGCAAUCUUUUGCAUCAAUACCACUUUAUAAGAUAUGCCGAAUGAAUGACCGUCAUUUAGCAAAUUUGUUUGAGUCCGACGGUGAAAUGGAAUUGGUGCAGUGUAAUAGAAGAUCCUGGUGAUUAAGGCUUGGUAAAAAGGUCUAAUUCCCAGUCAUUUGCGAGCAUUAGGAGCCACCAGGCAGGUACACAUCACUGAACAAUACUGCUGUUGCAUCAAUGCAGCAUGAUAUGAUCGCCUGUACGAGAGGCCUUGCAUCAUAUGUUGGUUGAUCUUCAGGAAUUUGAUAUUAUUCUCAAAAGGAACUGCUCUUUCACUCAAAAAUCAACGUCAAUUGCCAUUCGCAAUUGAGAAGAACGCGACUACUGGAAUCCUUUUGGCUUUUUGGACAUCAACUUGCGCAUGGAAAGGUGACAUAUUUUCUUUCGUCAUCAAGAAAAAUGGUGUAACAUCAGAAGGGAACUCAUCCCGUGGCCGUGUCGCACUGAUGUGGGCGCAGAUGAAUUUGCUGCGUCUCAACAACAAACAUUUUUCUCCAUAAUAAUUUUUGUACUACAGGAAAUACAAAAAAGGGUAAAUUCUAUCCUCUACCAUGUGUCCAUAGCUUACAGAUUUAAGCCAUUUUCACUCUCGUCCGAAAUCUGGAUAGCCUUGGGACCAAGAAAACCGGACUAAAAAUCAUCCACUCUUUAGCGAGAAAAACAAAAGCCCGAGUAAACUGUUGAUCGAGGGCACUUCUUUGAGCUCUUUGACGUGUGCCUCCGUAGCUAUCCAUCUACAUGUGCAGGACAAAAUUUGCUCACAGAACCUUAAAAGGUGGUUAUCAUUUUGGUGCUGAAACUAUUUAACCUGUAGAGCCAAAUAGACGGGAAAAAAAUCUGCAUGCUGUAAUUUUGGGCUCCUUUUAACAGCGGAUACUAGUUUUGUUUCUUUCUCAUCAUGUAACAACAAUUAUUGUCACACUUUUGAAAGGAUGACUUGCUAAUAAUACUGGAGCAAAAUUGACAGCUCUGCCCAUGUGGAAUAUUUUUCUGAUUUUGGAACCCACGUAUCAAGAUUAAAAUUUUCAAAUAGCUUUCUAUUGAAUGGCAGAAAAUGGUGCAGAAAAUGAUAGCGUGACAAUCAUGUUGGACGGACUCCGUGUAAAUGGUCAUGAUGAGACAAUAAGUUCAACACGUAUAAACAAUAUUCUGCUGAACCAGACACCAGCAGGUCCUGCACCCUCCAUCACUAGCCAGCGGCUUUUCUAGAUCCUUCACCCUUGUGAUAUCGAACUACCACUCUCACAAAGAUCCUUGUUGGUUCUGGCUUUGUAGCCCGACCAUACAUCCAGUGGAAUUGAGGUCUGGUUUCAAAAAAAGCUUCGAACAUAUUGCAAGUAAUCCGUCUUCCCAAAUUGAUACACAACUUCUCUUGAAGCCGGUCGUGAUUUUGCUAUAUCAGUUGGAGAAAUCAAAUUAAAUUCCCAAGUACGAGUAGGAUUCAUUACUUUGUGAGCUGAGUAGAAUGAACAGUCUUGAAAAAUUUGCUAGCUUCAAAGAUGGAUCUGGCUUUGCAGCUGAAAGUGCAAAUGGCACAGCAAGUAACGAUAUUGCCUUCUAUAUUCGUUGGUGAAGUUAAUGUCGGCAGGAGUAGGAGUAGGAGUAGGACCAAUUAUAGGAAAAAAUUUAGUCCACUGGCCAUCCAAGUGCCUUUUUCAUCAUUGCCAGCGGAAGAGGGUGGAAAUCUGACAGAAUUCAAAAGGAUCACUGGCUCAGACACAGCUCUAACAAGAUGCAAAGUACCUGAUUCCUGGAUGGGCCAUGAGAAUACUGUGGGAAUCAUUGGUGGCUUAUCUGCUUCCUCAACAGCUAUUUUCCUGGCAAAACUUGUUUGGGGGAGUUCAAGGAACGAGAAAGAAUCCGUGCCUUUUAUUGUCUGCAGUGACUCAACCAUAAAGAGUGAGCUUUCCAUGUAUAGUACUCGCAGCAAUGAUUCUCGAAUUCAAUUGCAUCGUGGAGUAAUUAUAGAGAAUUUGAGAUGCAAAAUGGCAUUUUUGGAGCAGUCUGGAGCACGAUGUAUUGUCAUGCCAUGCCAUGUAUCUCAUGUCUGGUAUAGAGAGAUCUCCAAUGGAUGUUCAGUGACAUUUCUCAAUGCAGGAGACUGCGUUGCCAGUGAGCUCAAAGAAGCAAAACUAAAGCCACUUGAAGGUGGUAGUAAGGUGCGAGUUGGGGUGCUGGCAAGAGAUACACCUUUGGUGGGAACUUUCUAUCAGGAGAAGCUACAGCGUCAGGUAAAUUGUCAGUUGCUGCAAAACAAAACAAAAAAAAAAAUUCUGUCUCUGAGACGGAUAUUUUUGUAAGGAGUGACCAAUAUUUUCACAAGCAAAAAGUAUCGUGUGGUGAUUCUCUGGAUUUUGCGGGAUUGUUUCAACGGCGUCCCUACUUGACUAUGAAGCAUGCAUACAUCCUAAUAAUUUUUGAGCAGGAAGAGUGCAACUUGAGUAAAAAUGUCAAAAGAAGGGGCAAAUUUUGAGGUAAAAUGCUAAUGGGAAUAUUUGUUUCUGUUUCUCAUGGUUGAGGUUUGUUUUCUCGCAGGGCUUUGAGGUUGUUUUACCAGAUAAUCCAACCACGGAGCACAUAAUAAUUCCAGCAUUCGAAGCACUGAACCAAAAGGACAUAGAAGGGGCCAGAAAUCUUUUAAGGGUUGCAAUUCAGAUUCUUCUGGUGAAGGCUGUCAACAUCAUUAUACUAGCUGCUGAUGAAUUUCAAGGUCUUUUACCCGGCAGCGAUCCUCUUCUCAAGAAAUGCAUUGACCCUCUGGAUUCUUUGGCCAGAUCAACUAUCCAAUGGGCGAGAUCAACUAAAGAUGGCAUGGCACAUAGAACUUGGUUAACAAAUAAAUAGCACAAGGAAAUGAGCAACCUAGAGAAGAGAUCGAUGAAAAAUGGCAAUAAAGCUAGCUAAAGAACUCAGAGCCGAAAGGCAGUACAUGUUCAUGCCAUUGCCAUAUAGAUACUUGUCAGAGAACUGGAGAAAAGCGGUAAUAGGAAAGUUCUCAUUAAAGUUUCAUUAAAGUUUUUAGCGGUUCAGAAAUGUAAUGCGAUGUACGCAACACAUGACAUCUUAAAACUGCUAUUUCUUUUACUAAUGAAGCAUUAUGCCUCAUGUCAAACAUGCGUUCCAAAAGUUUCAGGGGGCUAUCUUCUGCUUCCUUGAGGCGAAGUGGCCACCUGACUCGAAGCUUUCAGCACUCAUCGCAAUAUGGUUUGGUUUAGUCGGUCGGGUUGCUCAAACAGCAAGCACUAGUAAUCAGCUCGAGCACAAUUAUGAUGACUCAAAACUUUGAUGAUUAGCAUCCCAAAGCCAAAAAGGAAAGAACAAAAUCCAAAGGUAUCCGCCCAACCUAUGGAUUUCACACUGACUUCCACAAGUGAGGGUCAAAAACCUGUGCCCAAACUCAAAGAGAGUUAGGUUUAACAACACGAGUCGUGUAAACUUUUCUUUACAGAUAUUGUUCGAGGAAACGACAUCGGACUGUCGGAAGUAUAAUUAGGAAAGCAGCAAUAGCAACGAAAAAUGCAAGCUAUGCCAGAAAUUAAAGAAUGACAACACAAUGCGAUUUGUACUAAGAUCUAUUGCAAUAAAACCCGUCAAUCUAUCUGCAUUGCCAAAAUCACAUGCUUUUUGCCAGUAAACUUCAUCAGUAUUUAUUUAUUACAUGUAAUUGUACAUCAGUAAGGCAACAAGCGGAUUUCUCUUUGUUUUAUUUUAUGUAGUACAACGAUGGUACGAUACAAUUCACAUUUUCGACUCCUAAAACCCUCUAUUCAUUCUGAAAAUUUGGGAAUUCCCAGGAAAGAGAAGAUAACGGGUCGCAUUAAAAAUAAAAAAUUUGGUACAGGAUUGAAGAAACUAUAAACUGGAGAGAGAACUACCAGGUUGUUUACUAUGCGUUUCUGCCCCAUUCACCACAACUUGAUUGGCCCAGGAAGAAAUGAGAUGAUGAGCAAUAGCGAAGGGUCCAGGGAUGAACAUCGAAGCAAGUUCCCCACUUUCCACACUAAAGUCCGCAGAUAGGUUCUGUCCUUUCUCAACUCCCUUGCAUAUUUGGUCCACUCUAUCUGCUGCAGUUCUUUGUGCCUUCUUGUAUUCAGCAAAAGGCAGUGCCUUUUUAACAUCUUCUCUACUAUGCCAUUUUGCAUCUAGACAACCAAAAUUUUUCUCGAUUACUACUACAUCCAAAAAAGACUAAAGUACGACUCCAUUCAGAUUACUACUACAUCUAAAAAUGACAAAAGUAUCACUUCCUUUCACAAAAUUCAGCGAGGGCAGGUACAAAAAUCAAACUGAACGAGUUUUUCUUUAGGCGAGACACACAUGUAUUGGUAUCUCAAGGGUUUUCAAGGCUGUGAUAAAAUUAAACAAUGUCAGCACAUUUUCUACAAAUUCAAGAGCAUCUAGAAAAUGUUUUUAAGAGGACAACAAAACUGGAAAGCAAUGGCACAACAUGAAGAAAGUACCUUCCAGCUCUUCCUUGUCCACAUUAAUUUCAAGUGAUUUAGCGUAAGCAAAGAACCCUACCAUAAGCUGACAUGGGAUGCCACUUGGUCCAACUGCAAAUAAACCAUGCAAAGAGAGCACACAUAUUAGGAAAAGCACAUGAUUCUGGUCAGAUGGAAGUAGGCUAGAUGCUGAGGUGAUAAUUUGAACAGCAUUCACUAACUGUCCGCCAGUUGAUUGACUGAAGUUCACUGAUACUUCAUUACAACUACAGGCUCUGAAAGAGGUUCAUCAAAUACUAUCUGGAAAGCUCGAUAAACAGAUGUAACAUCUCAUUUUAGAAAGGUAACUUCAUUAUGCAAUGUAAACCAAAUUAACAUGCUAUCCAAAAGUAAAUCAAAGCACGUCAGCAGAAAGUCCAUUUUGAAAGUCUUAAUAAGGUAAUAUGAGCAUACAAUGCACACAUGCGUGAGCUAAUAGAAUAUGAAGGACCUGCUUCAUACUUACGCAAGCAUUUCCGAGCAUAUCUACAUGCAAAAAAUGUUUUAACUUUUAACUGCUACAGCACCCCUCCCCACCAAAAAAAAAAGAAAGGAAAAGAAAAGGAAGGAGAGAGAGAGAGAGAGAGAGAGAUGCAAGUCAUAACACAACAUCAAUAAGUAGAAGCAUUCCAAUUCUCAAGUAACUUGUGUAAUUGUAACGAGUAGGGUAGUGCAUAUGCAAGGAAGAUUAAGAAAGAUGUCUUAUUUUCACCAAGUACGCCUGGAAGAACAAUAUCAUUGUCAUUGUUUUUCCUUUUAAACAGAACUGAACAUAAAUUACUUCAUGCAUUUAUAUUAAAUUCUUAGUCCAUAAUAAACUGACCAUGUUUUCAAGCUUAACCUCUUUUGAUCUCAUGAAUAAACCCGAACAUAUGUACAGUUAGAGCAUGGCAGAAUAAAUAUUACCAGGCCAUGGCUGAGAACUAUGAUAGACGACUUCACCAACUUCAAUCCCAGCUUCCUCCCACGUUUCUCUUCUAACAGCCUCUUCUAAGCUUUCUCCUGGCUAACAACAAAUUUAAGGGGAGAAGGAAUACAACGAAGGAAGAGCAUGCAAAACAUGGAAAGGUAAUCAAAUGCUGUGGAUAACUGCAAAUGAAGCAUAACUAGUAGUGUUGACGCCUAGAAGAUUACAUCAAUAAGUUAGUUAAUUCACUUUUAGAAGGGAAACGUAAUAGAAAACUACCAAUGGCUACAUUCUUGAAUCAUAAAUUGACCUCAGAAUGGUCAUCUCAACAUACCUCUAUGAAACCAGCCAAGCAACUCCACAUGCGAGGCACAAAUCUUGACUGCCUACUAAGUAGAGCACGGUCAUUCUCUUUAUCAAUGACUAACAUAAUGACAACCUGUGAAACAGAAGGAUGGUCAGGGAAAACUAUGGCUAUCAGUUAAUCUGGCACAAUAACUGCCUUCCCUUACCUACAAAACUAGACAGUAUAAUAUUGAGGGCAAACUAUACGGUUAUAACAGUUUCCCUGCACAAGAGGAAAAACUAUAGAGCAUAAUACCGGAUCAACUCGUGGAUAAACCCUCCUUUUGCAUAAUUCAUUUGAACAACUCUUUCGUCUACCAGCGUCCAUGGGUACUGUUUUUGCUCCACAAUAUCCACAGAAACGUGAUGAGGUAUGCCACUCCAGUAAAGCUCUUGCCUGAUUCAAUGGAAACCAGAUACUUUACAUACAGUUAUACAGGAAACAAGUUGCAAUGAUAACAAGCAUCUUAUAAGCACCAAAAGAAAAGGAUGUAUGAAUUCUACGCAUGCAAGUGGGACAAAAGAUAUGAGUGCUUAGAAAAAACCUAGUUAACUGCUUUAACAAAGCUUAAACUCUGAAAUUUGCAAAUUAUGGUGGAACCAAAUUUAAGUUCGUCCAGCAACUCCAGAAAAAGCUUAAACUCUGAAAUUUGCACAUUAUGGUGGAACUUAAUUCAAGUUCAUCCAGUAACUGAAGCAUAAAAGAUAUAGGUAACAGACCACUAUUUCCAAUUACAGUUAACAAUCUAGACAUCUACCCUGAUAGUAUCAUGCUCCUGACAUAAACCUCUCACCACUCUCUAAUCUUGUCCAAAUGAUACAAUGACAUUAUCCACUGUAGAGCUUGAAGUUAACCACUCAGCAAUCCAAGAACAUCCCUUAACACCUACUGGAUUAUCGGCGAUUAAGAUCUUACUCAUAUCUUGCUUACUGAGCUAAAUAACAACAUAGAAAGUUUAGAAAAAAAAAAAGAAGUACAGUGUUUUAUACGACCCAAACCAGUAUAAGGCAUCUGAAUUUUAUCACCACCAAACGAGUUUCUCUAUUGCUUCUUCACCUAACAUAAGCUAAAAAGUAUUUCCCUGUUUGGGGUUAACGAAAUAACAGAACGACUGAUACCUAUAAUACUUUAUUGUAGAAUUGUUUACCCUCUGCUUCUGGCAAUACCAUUAAAACAUAUUCAUUGGAAAAGAUUUGAACUUUCACACAUCCCAAAAACCACAUAAUACAAAUGCAACCCAAAUCACCAUUAAGUCCAAAGAAUGAGGGGGAAGAGAAAAACCACACUUACAUGACCAGCAACAGCAAGCUCACCCAUCGCUUUAGCAUCAAUCCAGUCAGUAGCAACCAUCAAUGUCCUCAACUCCACAAAGCAAAACUGCCUGGCACCAAAUUCACUCACAAGGCCGGUAGCCUCAGAUACAUCAAUAGCCCAAUAAACAACAUCAUCCUCGGCAGUGAAACCCAAGUAAACCAACGAAUCUUCAUUCAAAUUCACCUCAGAAUUCUCCAAAAAAGCCCUGCACUCACCCAGGCUCAACCAGCCCAAAUGCCAGCUAGGCUUUCCACCGGAGCCAGAAGCAUCGCAUACCGAACCGGCCAAGGGCCUGCCCUUCCUGAAAGGCAAGACCUUGAAAUCAGGAGAAGACGGCUCAUGGGUGUGGCUCAAAAGAAGAGUCUUGAGGGUCUGGAAAGCUGAAGUAGGCGAAAAAGGGUCACUGGAUUUUGGGGUAUUUAGCCUUAUGGGGUUGCCUGCAAAGGCAUGAGAGUUGAGGUUGAUGGACAUGGUGGUGGAAAAUUGAGAACAGGAAUAGGGUUUUCUUGCCGUUUUAAUGAGGGAUAAAUAGUGGAGAGAGAGGGUUUUUUUGGAGAGGGAAAUGAAGUUGGAAGCUGCUAUUGCUGCUCCGGCUGCUGAGGUAGAAGAGAGAGAGAGGAGGAAGAACAUUUCUCCUCUUCUCUUGACUUCCUUGUUGGGGGCGUAUCCAUUUGGCUUUUUUCCCUUCGAAAGAUCUCCCCUCCUGAGUGAUGUGGUAAAAUCUGGGAGUUAAGUUAGGUGGUGACUCUUGUCAGGUGACAGGUGGACUUUUUCUCUGCAGGUUUCACCUGUUGUCCUUUUUCGAGCACAUGUUUUUUCGUUUUCUCUUAUUUUGGUAGUAUUUUUUAUUUGCACCGUAAUUAUAUUUUUUAAUCAAUUUUUAUCUAAUUUUUUUUUAUUUUACAUACAUUUCAUCACAAAAAAUAUUAUAAUAAUUAUUCUACAUAAUAUUUCAAAUAAUCUUUUAUCCAGAUACACUCAUUAUGAUCCAUACCUAGGUUUUUUUGCAGAUUGCUUCAAUCGUUGAUGAAGUGUAGAGAGUUUGAGUUCCAAAUCAAGUAUCUGAGUUUGAUAACACUCAAACAUUGUAAUUAUGCUUUGAAGGAAUUUUGGACUUUAAAUGCUUGAAAUUUUAAUGGGUUAAAAGCGUUAAACCCCCCAUGAACCUUACCCUUGAUUAUAUUUUACUUCCAUCAAUUCAAUAAAUAGGUACUUCGCCCCUUCUAUUUUGUGUUUUAGGACAAAAAUACCCUUUUCAUAUUAAUUAUUAUUUUAUUUAUUUGUUAUCCUCUUUCCUUGUUUCUACUUGUCCUUUUUCUUUAUAAAUUUUAAUUUUUCUCCCUCCUCUCACAUGAUCAAAUACUUUCUUCUCUUUACAAUUAUUAUCUAUAUAUUAUUUUUAAUUUUCUUAAACUUAUUAUUUAUUUAUUUCUAUCUAUCUUUUUUACUUUUUGCUAUUGAAAGUAAUAAUUAUCAUAAAGUGUAUGCUAUAACAAAGUAUAUUAUCUAUGCGCAUAGAUUAUUUUAUAAAUUAUUUAAAUCAUGUCUAAAGUUUAGAAUAAAUUAAUUUCUAAUAACAACAGUAGCAAAUUCGAAUUGUAAUAACAUAGUGAUUAAUAAACAAUACAUAAAAGAGUAAAAAAAUAUUAGUUACUUUUUUGGACUAUACUUUUAAAUAUUAAGUAAUUUAAAGUUCCAAUUUGCUAAUAUAUUUUUAAAUAGUUAAAUUGCUAAAUAAUACACACUUUUUGAUUAUGACAGUCACAUAUAUUAUUUUUUAUGCUAUACAAUUUGUUUUGAAUUUUUUAUAGUGUAAAUAAAUAAAAUAGAAGUGAUAGUAUAAUAUAAUUACAAUAUUACAAUUAGCAUACAAAUUAGUAAUACUAAUAAGAAAGUGAAACAAAAUAGUGACAUAAGAGAAAUGAAAAACAGUGAAAGAAAAAAUAAAAGAAAGUAGUGGAAAGGGGAAAAUGAGGGAAUGAAUAAAGAAAAACAAAACAAAACAAAAUAGUAAGAGUACAUUUGCCUUAAAAUAUCAAAUAGAGGGGCAAGUUGCUUAUUUAAUGAGUUUAGGGGGACAAAGCACAAUUAAGGAUAAAAUUCAGAGGAGUUUAUUACAUUUAACCCAAUUUGAAUUGCAUGAAUAUUAACUAUCUAAUCAAUGUUUUUACAACUUUUUAAUGAGUCAUGCGUAUAUGUAGUAAGAAUCUUAUAAAAAAAAAAAAAAGAAAGAAAGAAAGAAAGACUUUAUAGUAAGAACUUGCAUUUUGAGUAAUGGGUGAUUAAUCAAUAUUCAGAUUCUAUUAUCGAGUAUUUCAUCUUCUAGAAAAUUCACAUCUUCUCUACCAGUCAGUUUUUCCAACUUCUCUCUAUUUCUUCUCUUAGUUUCAAGGUCGUCCGUUAGGGGGGGAGACUACGAAGAACAUGGUGUGAUCUCUUUUCCAUGGAUUUGGUUCUUUUUUUUUUUUUUAUAGUAAAGUCUCUUUUAAAUUUUCUUAAUAAGAGUUUUUCAUUUUUCCUAAGAAUUUCUCGUGAGGUUCUUCUGUUCUUUCUGGGAUUCCUAUAGAAAUUUUGUGUUUUUUUUUCUUAUUUUAUUGUUAGAUCUAAAUUUAUUUUAUAUAUGGUUGUCAGAUCUAGAUUUUUUGGAUCUUGAAUCUAUUUUAAUAUAUCUCAUCAUCAUUAUUGAACCUUAAAACCGUUGAUUAGUAGAUCUAGUGAUUGUAAUAUGCACUAAAGGAAGCUGUAAUGAUUUAUCUAUUAGAAAACAAUUGUAAAAUUUAUUUUAUUUUUUAGAUCUGUCAAUAAUUUUUCAAAUAUAUUGUACCUAUUAAAUGGCAUAUCUGUAAUUUCAAAUUCAUGUUUAAUCUAUUAUUAGGGUAGUGAUGUAAAUUAAAUGGUACUGGAUAAUUUUGUAGUGAUGUAAAUUAAAUGGUAUUGGAUAAUCUUCAAUAAUCUGUUAAUGAAAAUUUGCGUAUAUAUUUUUAUGAAGCAUUGCAUCCUCUAGAGGCAUUUGAAUAAAAAGGAAGCUAUUUUUAGUCAAAUCCAUUAUUAAUUCCACCCUUUUGAGUGAAGUAGAUUGGCUUAGGUUAAAAUUUCAACUCGAGUAGUUAUCACUGAUUAAAAAAUUUAAAUUUUCAAGGAUUUAGAUUUUUACAGAAGCUUUUUUUUUUUUUUUUUUUAUGUUUAAUUGAAGCUGAUGGCAUUUAACUUCUUAUCUACACAACAAAAUGUUCUAUUUGGACUGGGUUAUUGGAAACGGAACACUACUAACUUCUAGGGCCUGACUUCAUCAAGUCUAAAACCGAGAGUUUCCAUUGAAUCAUCUAAAGUUGCUGCAACUUAUAGAAAGAUCAUUAGAGCUUUCGUUUUUUGGAGUUAAAAUACAUGAACAUCAUAGGGAUAUUUCUAGAACAAAAUUUCUAGAUUUCAAGCUAAGUCAGAAUGAGGAAAAGAGGAAUUGUCUUGCAACUUUACUACAGAACUAGUGCACCGUAAUCUAGUCUAAUGCUAUUGAUAGUGUAUACCACAGUUUCCACCAUGUGCUAUUUAUCAGAAUGCGCCUGUGUACUGCAAUAAAAGCACGCUGUCAAAGAAAGGCUAACUCAUCUAAUUUGGAAAGAAUAUUUUAGUUGCAUCAUCAAUACAUUUUUUAAUUACUUUUUUUUAAUCUUUCAAUCACCUUAUUAUCUUACGAAUAUUACAUCACAAAAUUGUUAGAAAAAUGCUCAAAAUUCUUUUCCUUGUUCUGCAAAGGGAUGUUGAACAAACAAAGAAAAAUCCUAAGAUGAUGAAAUCAAACUUUGAAGAUAUGCUGCAGAGAAAAGAUAACCAUCAGCUCUUGCGGACACUGACUGUUCUGUUAAAUGAAAUUGCAGUCUAAAGCAACAUCUCAAGAAGGUCGGGAAGACAAUUUGGAAAGAAUAAUAGAAUUGAAUUUUCAGUCACUGUAAAGAUUACUUUGUUCAGCUACAGACAACGGAAUUCUCUUCUAGAUACGAAACUGAUCUUUCUGGUGAAGGGCAGAGUAAUGCCAAUGGGGAUCAUCAACUAUUGUCAUCAUCCCAUAAGGUUAAGGUAUAAAGAGAAGAAAAGGGUAUACUAUAGAUUUUACCACCCCGGUCGAUUGUCUGGUAAAUUUUAGUUAAAGCUUCAACUGCAGUUGAACUUUCGAACUUCAAUUUUGGCAGCUGGAAUGCCAAAGAUUUACCGAUCCUCAACUUCAUUGGGAGAGCCAUGAGGUGGAGUUUGAUCAUCAAGCCAAUCAGCAUAAAUUUUGUUCAUCUUCUUUUUCGGUCUCCACCAUGAAAAGUUCUUAUCCUGCAUCACUUCUGGUACAGGAGCACCAACCUCUAAAUUAGCAGCGGAUGAGUCAAAUACGGGAAUAGAAACCGGCUUUGUUUGAAAAGGACUAGAAUUCACCGUCACUUCAACAUCAACUUGGGCAGUUGAUACAUUUAGUUCUGUCAAAAAGGAGAAAAUUCGCAGACAAAUCUUAGACUUCAGAGAGUUCGCAGAGAAAAAUCACAGACAAAUCUUAGACUUCAGAGAGUUGGCAAAGAAUCAAGAACAGAUAAAAUUGCUUAUGCUCAUUAGAUCAGAAUUAAGUCUAAUAAAAUGAAGAAAACGAAUCUAUGCGGAACAAGAGGAAUAGCGUAACUUCUGACGUGCUGCAAUAGACUCCUACAUAUCAAAAAAAAAAAUUUCGACUGGUCAUAACUCCAACCAUCACUAUUGAUGAACAGGUUAAUGGAAAAGAGGAAAAAAAGACAACCAGCUUUGCUUUGGUACCCUUGGCUCUAAUAAUAACAAUGACUUGCUCCAAACUAACAAUUUCACCAAUAUCUGUCAGAAAUUAAUUGAUUGUAUAAUCUACUAUUAAGCAUCAGCAAAAAGAUGCUGCCUGCAAUUAUCAGCAGAGCAAAGACUCUCCUAUGUCAAGUUGUCAACAUAAAAUGCAGACAUGGUCAAGAUUAUGUUUCUGACUGUGGAGAACGAUCCUCAAGUCAUGGAAAUUAAGACUGAAAUCAUUUUCAAGUAAAAUUACAUGCGGCUAUGCACCUAAGCUAUGGUCAGUGCCCGGAAAGGGGUGAGGUUUGUGGAUUAUUUCUAAAAAAGGCAACGACAACUCUACCCAUUUUUUCCCUCACUAUUCAGGCAAGUUAUUAGAGAUUGUUGAUCUUACAAAAUUUCUUUGACAUAGGUUAGACUUAAAAUUCUAUUGCAGUCAAACAAACAAUACAAGUCCUAGAAUCGGUAAAUCCUUGAUCUACAGCUUGGAUGAAGGGACUAGAAAACAGGAAGAGAAAUCAGCUAAUGGAACAGUAAUUUUUCUUUUCCCAGCCCUUCGUGGAAUCAAACUGAAUGCAAUGCCUUUCUGUUUAGCUUAGUGCAACAAGCAAGAUGAGAAACAGAAUAACGAAUCUACAGGUAACAAAACAACAGAGGGAGAAAACAUGAUCAACUGAAAAUUAAAAUAAAUAGCAACAGCUGUACCGGACUGCCCGUGGGCGAAAUGACAUCUUUCUCCAAAGGGGCAGCGACCUGUUAUCUCCCAUUUGCUACAUAACUUUGUUUUCCAAGAUGAAGUUUUAGGUCUUAAGGCAUCCAUGUUUGGAUCAACAGGCCUGCUGACUUCUGGCUGAUCAUAAUCGCUUGGAUUCCCAAUUGACGAUCCUCUGGUUCCAAUGCUUAUUACAGAACUCUCCCUCUGCAUUGGCAAAUCAGUCUUGGACCUUGGGCGUUCAUCAAGAGAACUAAAACUAGGUAUACGACGUUCGUGAAGAAAGUUGCACUUUUCCCCAUACGGACACUCUUCACCAUUGUAAAACUUCUUGCAAAGUUUCAUCUUGUGGAUUAGUCUCUGAUCAUCAGUCCAGGUCCUAGCCGCUCCAUCUUUUUCAGCAAGAAAUUCUUGCCAAUUUGGUGGGGGUUCUCUCAUAUCUUCAAUCCCAUGUGCAUAAGUGCAUUUUUCCCCAUUCUUGCAACUUCCAAACGAGAACUUUGCACACAUGCGAGUCUUAUAAAAGAUAUGGCUUGUUCCUUUACUUCCCAGAGGAUUUGAAGGGUUCAUCCGAGGAUUAAUCAGUGUUGAGAAUGGUUCAGAAACUGCAUUAUUAUUAUCUGAGUUCCUUGGUCGCUUGGGAGGAGGUGCAUGCUCAAAACGCUCAUAAAGAUCAAGAUCUUCGUGGUUUACUGGAAAGCCAGCUGGAAAGCCAGGGUAUUCCAAUGGAAGUCCUGGCCAAAACCCACCAACAUCACCAUCUGAAAAGGGCCUCUGCGUAUAGGCAGGAAGUGGUGGCUGUGGUGGUGACAAUGGCGGUACAGGUGGAGGAGGAUUAGGAAAUCUCAUUUUGUUGCGGUGACAGGGCUUCAGGCUAAGUCCAAUAUGAUUGUUUCUGUUCCUUUUACAAGAAAAAUUAAUACAGAUCGAAUUUUCAGCAGAAAACAAUGAUCUAGGAUACUAAAGAGAAUACAUAACUAACUGGCCAAAACAGACGUAUCAGUUUCAUUCUGUUUGAUAAAAAGAAUAAAAAGAUCAAUCUCGAUUCCUAAUUCAUACUCCCUUAAUUGCAGUUGCACAAAAGAAAAUCCGGAAGAAACCUGAUAUGCAUGCGAUACAAAAAAUUGACAAGACAAUUAAAUUCCGUCUAAAUAAAAGUAAAGAAUGAUCAGGAGAAGAAAAAAACAUAAAAAUCUUAUCAAUCCUGUAAAGUGGAGAGAAAAUCUUUUACAAACAAAAUCACCUGAUUAAUCUUUUGUCUUUGGUUUAAAGCAAGAAUUUUUUAUACAAAUAAAUAAAUAGGUAGGCAAUGCAGGAUCAACAAACCUGAAAUUUCCCAACUGAAUAGGCAGAUGAUCUUGUCCCGAAAAUUAAACUUUUUUCAAGAAAACGAAACCCAGAUUGAAAUCAAAAGUUAUGGACAACUUUUUUGAAGUUUCCUAGAGUCGCCCAGGGCAUAGCCGCCUUAAAAGAAUCCCUCCAAGGAAAAUUAGCACAAGGAAAGACGAUGCAAGAAACCCUAAAACCCUGAGAGCCCUAAACGGCUAAAACCCUUCAACAGUCACCUAAACCCCAUUAAUCCGAUGGACAAUUAUGUUAGUAUAUAAAUUAUAUGCAUUAUUUUGGCAAUACUUAAAUAAUUACAUGAAUAAUUAUGUAAAAUACUCAGAAUUAGAUUAAUGUGUGGGACCGAUUAAUAUAAAACAGAUUAGCAAAUUUUAAAUUGCCAAUCCGCCGGUGGGCUCGUUUGUUAUCGGUCUAAUGGUCCAAUUUUGAUUUUUUUCAAUUUUUUGUUGGGACAGGGCGGAAAUUGUUCUGCCUCUUCGUUCUUUCUCCCUUGGCCUUUUAGGCCUGGACAGUUCACUCAAUCCAUGAAGUAAUUAUAUAAGGGGAUAAUUUCAGAAACCUCCCCUGAGGUUUCUAUUAAUUACAGAUAGCUCCCCUCAAAUAUUCAAAAUUACAUUUACUACCCUUACUGUUACUAUUUAGGUAACCAUGUAGGCCCAAUAACCUAGAUUCUUUUUCAAUAAUUCUAAACUACCCUUCUAUUAAAAUUGUGAAAACAAAAAGGAAAAAUAAUUUAGUCAUCACCUUUCACCUAUACAUUUUUGCAACCAAUCAAACAUUCUUAACUCAAUCCCUCUCAAGUCUCAACAGUAUGAUAGAGUCUCAAAUUCACUCCAACUCAGUUCCCAAAAUUUGGGCAGUCACAAAAUCCCCAACCUUUAUUCAAAUGCUUUCAGUGCAAAUCAAUUACAACAGUCACCUUAAAUACCCAAAUGUUUCUACAAUUCAUCUAUUUCAUUCCUUGCCCAAAAUCAACCAAUCUCAAAUUCCAAACUGCGAUCUCAUUGGCUGUCAUCUUGCCAAACAUAAAACAAUAUCCUAGCCUACAACCACCAAUACCAAAGAGCAAUGCUUUUACAUAGCAAAGCAUAUAAUUUAGUAAUACUCCGUCAACAUCUAGGGAUCUAGACCAACUUCGAUAUCCAUAGCAAACUGUUAUCAACUAUUGCAAAUCAUUUAAAGAAAUCCAAAUGCAACGGUUAAUAUACAAGAAAAUUUAUCUUUAUGGAAGGCAAAAUUGUAUGCCCCUCAUCUAGACCUCUUCCCCUUCCAACCAUCAGUUUCUUUUUUUCUUUUAAAUCUAUCACUAGUAUCCUCUUCAUCGCUAUCUAUUUCGACAAUAAAAUCUACUCAUCUCAAUUUAUUAUUUGGCAAUUUCAAGUCAUUAGCAUCAACAAAGCAUAAGAAAAGUUGAAAAAUCAAAAGGUUCUAAUUACUGAGAAUAAGAGAGACGGACAUAGCUUUGCUGUCAUUAUGGUUGAUGGGAGCAGGUUAUGGGAAAAACGAGAAAAGAGAUAGGACUUAAGAGGAAUGAGAGAAACAGGGAACUAUAAGUAGUUGGUGAAUCUGUGGCAAGAUGGGUAGUACUGAAAUUUUUUUUUCCAUUUCACUAUUUUGUUUCAUCGCAUGGUAUAGAUUAUCUAUUUAAUCAAGGACAUUGUUGUCAUUUCACUGCAUCAAGGGUGGUUGGUGUAAUUUUCUAAACCUGAGGGGAGCUGUGUGAAAAUGCAGGUAACCUCAGGGAAGGUUUCUGAAAUUAUCCCUUAUAUAAGACAGCAUAUUCUUUUAUUUGUUAUUUUAUCCAUACACUAUUCCUUUUUUGUAUAUUUUAUCGUGCAAACAUAUAUACAUUCAUAUUUAUUCUCUUCAAAAAUUUUGACAUUUUAUUUUAUUUUUACAAAAGUAAUUAACACUAGAACACCCCAGUUGAAUUCGCAUUUAAUAAAUUCAUAAUUAAUACAACAUGAAAUUAUUUGAGCAUUUAAAGUUUGUACACCAUACUUUGAUGAUUAUAUGAUUAUAUAGCAUAAUUAUGACAGAUAACUAAGGGGUGAGCUACAAGCUAACCAGAUUUCUCCCUCUCAGAAUUAUGUGUGGACAUAAAAAUUUAAACUAGAAAAUUAAAAAUGAAUUUUUUAUAAAUGGUUUUUACCCUCUGGUUACAAACAUGCAGUUUUAUUAUCUAAGUGCACAUAACUACAAUUAUAGCCUCCUUGAUUUUUGACACUUAAGAUAAUUUCAUUUGUCUUAUAAAAGGGUCAGUUGAAGUUUGCAUAUGUUACACGGUAAUUCAACUCUUAUCCUCUUAUAUAUUCACCAACCGAAUAAUUAAGGACUAAUUCUGUUGUCUAACUCAAUCAAUUGAUUUAUUCACAAUAAAUCUUAUCCUCUAACUCUAACAACUCUUACCCUCUAACUUUGACAAUAGAAGAAUAAUAUCAAUAAUAAUAUAUUAAUCAUACGCCAUAAUAAUAUUUUUCAAACUUCCACUCUUCUCAACUAACCACGAUGAUAUCACUCCUAUUUAUAAACUAGAAAUUUUCUAAUAAAAUAUUAAUUUCUAAACAAUAAAACUAGCAGUCCAACAAAACUACUAAAAAUUUGACUCGACUAAAACACUACUAAAUAACAUAUAUAUAUAUAUAUAUAUAUAUAUAUAUAUAGAAAUUUCUACUUUUUGGAUUUGAUAUAAUAUGCCAACACUUCUACUUUCAAUGGGAAUUAAUGUAUUUCUUUUUUUUCUUACCCCAUUUUCAUAUUAAAAAAAGAUUGUCUUUUAGAGACAGUGUAAUAUAGAAUAAUCAAUUAAGAUUGGAUUUUAUUUUAAAAGAUUAAAGUUUGCAAAUCCACUCAAAUCACUUUACCCUUUACUUUGUCAUUUCUGUUCCCUUCUUUCUUACGCGCGUACACAGGCAGGCAAUCAGACGCCAACGCAACACACAGCCCGGAACUAAGCGCGUAAUUGAGGCCUUGUAACUUGGUUAGUAGUACUUGCCAGUAGCAUAAAAAACAGAAAACUCCAUUAUGGAUCAGGCUUUUGCUUCCAAAGAUAGAACUGCUUCUUUACAACAUCUAGUAAACGGAGAAAAAGACAAGCAUAUGUUUGUCUCAGGUGUUCUUAUAGUUCUGGCACCUUAAAAAGAUGUGACUGUAUAUAUACUCAUAAUGAAAGCAAAGACAUGCAUUUGACUUUGUGGUUCUAUGAUAGGUCACUUUAGUUGGUUGACAAGGCACGUUUAAUCUAAUGCUUUCUUGUUGCGAAAUAUUCCCUCUUCAGCACAAUCCAUGAUGAGGUUAAAAGUAGAUAACAUUACGUCAACCAUCAAAAGAGAUUUAAAAUUCUUUUUUGGGUGUAGAUUAAGAGAUUUAACUUGUAUUUUUAUCGAAAAUAUCUUUAAAUUUCACCGACGGGUGUAGAGGUACUCGUCUAGUUCGACAGCGGUUCAGUUUCCUUUGAAUUCUUUAUUGAUCCAUUUGGAUCUAUCCUUCUCCUUAAUAUAAAGUAAAAAUAGGUGUAAAGUAGAAUCUAUCGUGUUAAUUGAAAAAAAAAAAAAAGGAAAACAUUACGUCAUCUGCUGGAAUAUUAGAGUGCAGUUCACAAUUUGCAUGGAUUCUCCUUUACGUGUAUAUUUAGUCUUUUUCAAUAGAUAAAGUACGAUGUAUAUACAUAUAUUGUUACUUAUUAAGAUGAGGAAAAUAAAUACACUAGCAAGAAAAGGCCUGAUUAAUUAGAUUAGACCUGAAUACACAAUUAAGACAUCCGGAGAUAGAUAUGCCAAAAAAUAAGUCCACACGAAGUUGAGCACUUGUCUAGCAUCGACACAGCAUAUAAUAGCUAGACAAUGACAGGAGGCUAGAAUCUCUUGAAAGCUGAGCAAUGUAGUAUUGUAGGGGCCGGGGAAAAGCAUUCUGUUUUAAAAACUGAAUGUUGUACCCAGCAUAUAUUCAACAUUCCAAUCAAGUCAAAAUGAUGGGAUCUAAAUAUGCUUUAAAAACUGAAUUCUUAGCUUAAUUCGAACCAUGUUUCCUGAUCUGGCAGUGGUCUUAAGAGCAUAUUAGUUUCCUUUUUCUUAAUAGCUUGUCUUUUGGGCAAAGUGCCAUGGCUCGUGAUUUGUGAAGAUGGCACAAAGCUACUCUAUCAGAAGCCUGGAAAGGAAGAAAUGAAUGAAAGGUUGGAACUGACUCGAAUACGUGCCCUUAAAAGCGGAGCAUCAGGUUCUUAUCUACAUCAAAUUAUUUCGCGUUGUUUGGGACUAGAUGCUUAAAGGAAUCAAUCAAGUAUUGCUCCAAACAAGACCACCUUCCUGCUCGAACUAGUCGAUCAGCAGCAGGAUUCUUGAAUCUAAUUUCAGAUUCUUGCAAAUUUUUGCCGCUAUUUUAUUGCUCUAAUGGUGGUCCAUGGCAUUUGCCUUCUUUGAAUUAUUCUGGCUUCCAUUGCAAUGCUGCUGAUAGACACUAUGAACAGUUACUUGGACCCCAUGGAUUGUCAUCCUUUAACUGACGCGUUAUAUGUUUGAAAGAUUAACAGGAAAACGAAGGGAUUUCAUUAGUUUCAUGUAAUAAUUAACCGUACAAUGUUGUUAGCUAGGAACCCUUCUCUCAGAAAUUAACUACGGAACAAUGCUAAUGAAAUUUUGGUCGUCUACCAGGAACCUACAAUUUAUUGGACGAGAAAAGAAGAAAGACUAGAGAGAAAAUUGAUGUGUUUGAGGAGGGUCACUGUUGCCGAUCAUAGUGAGAUAACUCCUAAUUAUACAAGUACUUAAUUCUCUUCCUUGAUUCACUGCCUUAGACGGCGUUCCUGAAAAGUAAAAGAAUGAUAUGCUUAGGAAUGUGGGUUCUUAAACUAAAUUUAAAGGGAAAACAUCAAAGACAAGUACUUCCAGUUGAUUGAUGAAUAGCAGAUGACGACUCACAGAAAUCCCUAAGCAUUUUGCAUUUAUGGCAUUCCGUCCUGCUAGCAUAGUUGUGCUCACCGCAUCCAUAUCUGGUGAAAGAAGGAUUGCUUACAUUAGAUAAAACAGUCACAUGAAAUGAUGACGUCCAAUGCCUGCUUAACUUCUUGUUCUCCAUUAAUCAAACACAAGAGGCAGUAAAAUUUAAUCUAAUCAGAGAAAUAUAGAGAAGCUUGAUUUAUCUGAAAUGGGAUUAAUUCAAAAUCAUGAGUUCUUUCACUUUCUUCGCGAAAAAGAGAAGGAAAGAAAAGAUGAAAUUAAUAUGACCAACCUGGUGCAAAUCCAGUCACCAGUUUUCCAACCAGGAAGGGCACUGGAAUCAUAUAGGUAACCUCCAGGUGCCAUCAUGCCAACCCCGUACCCACAGUUAUCACUCUUCAUUGCACCGCAUCUAUAGCAGCUUGUUCGGCUUGCGUAAUUAUGAGCCCCACAGUUCAUUGCAGUGCAAUACCAAUCUCCAGGCAAGACUUCUGUUUUGUGUAUCCUAUAAGAGGAGAUAUCCUCAGGCGAUGCAUACUUGGGACAUCCACAUUUUUGACAUGCAUCACGCCUCUUGAAGUUUGAGUACUGGCAAGCAGCACACAACCAAUCUCCUUCCCUACUCAUGAUUUGUCCUUCACUCACUAUCUGAAAUAAUAAAAAACAAAAAGUGUUAACUACACAAGCAGGAUCAAAAUAGAUAUUUCUGAAAUGCGUCUUUGUGGAUGGCCUAUUUCAUGAUGCAAACCGGCACUGUUUGUGUCAAUUAAAUACUAAUAUCACCUUGCUAAGUGCACUAGCUUAAAAGGCCUAGUAGAAAAAAAAUGCAGGCGAAAGAAACUCUACUAAAUGGAACCAUGGCCUGCCCAAAAUUGAAUACGAGGCUAUACAUGUUGUUUACAUGCAACACUGAAUCCCAUAACUUGGAUGUGCAAAUCAUUAUUCUGAGUAGGAAGAUCGAAAACAUAUAUCUUGGCCCUAGAAUGACCUAAUUGGGCUAAUGCAGAAGAAAGCGCAGCAAUCAAUAUGGGCUCACCUCAAAAGAAACACUGAAGAAGGGAAGGAACGAUAACACAGCACUUGGUGACUUGUAAGCACUGGUUGUUUGUUGCUGGAGUUGGUUGGUGAUUUUUGGAAGAAUGGAUUGAGUUGGUUUAUAUAGUUGUUGAGGCUGCUCGAGAGUGGGGCCGGGCCCUUAGAUUUCUUUUUUACUUUUUUUUUAAACAUGUUAUUUAUUUGUUUCUGCAGAUGGUUUCCUUCUGGUUAGAUUCCAAAAGUAUAAAUGAUUAGAUAAGUCUUUUACUAGUAUUUCUUGCCGUCUUUUGGAUUGUGGAGGCAUGGGGAGGUGGGCUUGCUAAGUUCUGAACUAACUAGUGCAUGCACAGAAGCACAUUUUUCUUACACAGUGAGUCCCAUAAUGCCCCUCUUUCCAUGAUUCUCAACGCGAAUUUUGUAUUUAAAAAAUGUUUCGAAAAUUUAUUCUCUAUUCUCUCAUCCAUUUCUGGUGAAGUCUCGUAAGAGAUGAUGUUAUAUGGAAAAGUUAAGUGCACAGAUAUUUUACCUCACCUAGAAUGCCAAAGUCACCUGCGUCUGGAAUCAACGUCCUUUUCAUGAAUAGAUGAAUGAUAUAAUAGCAUAAUAUAAUCGCUCUAUACAUUGGGCAAGUUUCUAUUUAAACGAUUAGAAAAAUGCCUGAAAACAAAACAUCUGUUCAUAUGCAAUAUCAGAUUGAAGUUCUGGAUCCUGUUUGAAUCCUAAUUCCUACUGGUGGUUGAUGCCUUGAUGGUUUUCAAAGAUUUUCAUGCAGCCUGGAUCCUUACUUUCCCCACUUACGUAGCAAGUUUACUUGGAUGCAUACGCCUUAAGCUUACUUGGCUUUCCACGUAACAUCAAAUGGACCUUCCUUUUGAGCAGGCUUCAUUUGGUUCCGGCAUACAUAGUUCAGGUUUAAAUGCAGAAAAUCUCUGUAGGGUAACUUUCCAUAUGGGAAUAAAUUCCUUAUAAUGCACCUGUCUCGCCAAAUUCUAUUCUUCCUUGUUUUUGAUUCCUUCUUUACUGCAAUAAUUCAAAAGCCAUUUGAAGAUGCACAUCCAGCUGCCAUUCUUUGCGUCCCCUACUAAUAAAGUUUUGUUGCCAAGGAGGCACUCCCGAUAUCUACCAUUUACUCACUAUAUCCUAAAUAUGGGCCUCGCUCUUCACCUGCAAACAUAACCGGCCACAGAACUUUUCUGCAUGCCUAGGGUGCUUUGUUUGCAUGCACAUACACAUUUUUGUUCCGGUAUUAUACUUUUUAAUUUCUGUAAUUUUGUUGCAUUCAUAAAUUUUAAUUAAUAGCGUAAACCAAUCUGGUGCAUAAAUAUAAUCGUGUUUGAAAGUGUACACCAAAUUAUGAAAAAAAAAUACAAAAAUCACUCUUAAUCGUACUAAAACGCAAGUCUACCUACCACAACCCCCCCCCCCACACACACACACACACAUAUAUAUAGCACCAUAGUUUUAUGGUUCCACUAGUUGGAUCUUCGCAUGAAAAUUUUGCAGCCGCUGUGAAUCAAACAUACCAUGAGACAGUAAUUGAUUUAUGCUACACAACAGAAAAAGAUUUUUCAUUGCUUGUGCUUUAAAAUGACCUGAUCGGUGAUAAAAAGAUUGACGUCUUCAUCUUGCAACGGAAGCAACACUUGUGUCCUAAUAUCCUACUUCUUUGAUAAGAUUACGUUCUACUUCUUUUUGUUGGUAUCGAUUACGUUUUUUUUUUUUCCCUUGCAGUCGUAAUGAUCAUUAAGAGGCAUUUUCCCAUUUGGAAAUGGAAUUAUAACAUGCUACAGAUUAAGCAUCAAAAGAUAAAAGUAAUCUAACCGGCCUUCGCUGCCUCUUUUGCCGUACUUUUAUCAAGAUGAAGUUAAGAUACCAAAUGUCCAAUAGUAUAUAUAUAGGAAUUCAGAAACAUGCAGAAGCAUAUGUAUCAAGGAAAAAAUUCUUAAUCCCGCUAGACUAGCUAAGCAAAAUUGGCAUUCGGCAUCUUGGAAUUAUUGAAACAUGCACAAUAGUCAUGGGAGCCUAAGUUAUUAUCACUUUGUCAGAGCUUUUGAUUUGACUCAAUAAGAUAUAGCCGAAAAGGCAUAUGCUGAGAAGAUAUGUUUAUGUAUGGACAUGAGUUAGAUGAUACAAGGCUGUCCAAGACUAGACAACAAGUCGAACGACUGUUCAAAGAUUCGAAGGUUUAAUUUACCAACAAUUAAAAAAAAAAAAAAAAAGAUUCCAAAGUUUAAGCCGUUGGUACGAGGUUUCAAUUCAUAAAAAAUUUGGAAUAAGGACCUUCUAAAGUUGUAUAUUCACGGGAAUGUUAAUUUAGACCGAAAAUAAUUACAACUACACAUCUUAUGAAGCUAAUUCCACUCUUAUAAGUACAUUUUACACUGCUACUUUAUCAAAGAUCUAAGCUAUAAACCAAUAACAAAUACUGUAAAUCAUACGUUUUCUUUACUAUUUAUUUUGUGAGACACAUCAAUGGUUUUUAUUUAGUACAACCUUCUUUGAGUUUUUCAUGUCGGCAUGGAGUUUUUAAACCUAUUGUUCAAUGCACUCUCUAACAAACGGAUGAACAUCUUUGGCGUGUUACAAUAAGGAAGGAUAUAUGAAUCACUAAUAGCUAGUCUGGGAGGAAGGAAACGAAAAGAAAAGAAAGAUUUUGAAAGAAUAAUAAACUUUUUCCAUUGUUUGGGAGCAAAAAUGGGAAGGAAAAAGAAAAGAUUUGAAAAGAUUUUACUUCCCUAACUCCAUGUUUUGGAAAACUUUCCGCCCAACUUGUAAGAAACACACAGAAGUUUUAAGUAAAUCUUCAUAUAUGUUAAUAUCACCUUUAAAAUCCUGAUGCAAAAAAUUUUAAUUUUCAAUGAGUCCCUCCAUUACAAAACCCUCGCCAAAACACAUCCUUUCGAUAAAGAAAACACAUAAAGAACUGGUAAUUUUUAUUCGAUAAAGAAAACACAUAAAGAGCUAUUAGUUUAUGCCUCAUAGUAUUCUAUAGUUUUCAUUAGAUUGCAGCAAACAAUCAAAUUUCCAUCAAGUUUCACAUUUGUUUAUAGAAAGGGCAUAUUUGUAAAGUAACUUGUUUGAAAACCACUCACCUUCUUUUCUUUUUUAAUACUCCAAACAACUUAGGUAGAAACUUGAUCCUUUCUCGUCCGUUCUUUACUUUUAUAACUUAUCUUUUCUCUUAUUUUCUUUUCUAUUCUAGACUCCCAAACUAUGGCAAUAAGGAUACAUGAACCAUAAAGUAGGAGUUUGGUUAGUGGGCUUUAAGGCAAGUGUCAAUUUCAAUCACAUCCACACAUAAUCUUCAUUUAAAGCCGGUUGAUGAGUUUUGUAGAUCUCCAUUAUGGGUUUUAUGAUUAAUUACUAAAAAGUAGCACUUCGCUCAUAUGUUAAUUUUUUAAUUACUAAAAUCAUUGCCGUAAAAUCACCAAACGCUAUAAGAAUUUUUAUCAUUGUCAUUACUGUUUCUAAAUUUAUCAUACUCAUAGUGAUGGUGAUUGUGAUUUGAACCAAAUGGCUCCCCAGUUAAAGCAUAUGAUGGAAAAGAGUCCUGUCGCGGGACCAUUCGGUUAAAUCGUGAGUGUUAACUGAGCAAAAAUAAAAAUUACGGAGGUAAAGUGAGAAAUAAGAUAUAUGGUUUUGGAAUUAAUUGUAAUUAACCGUAACAUUUUAGAAUUUGUAUUCAUUCUCAUGUUGGUACUUAUAUUGAAUUAAUGCAUUUUACCAAUCGAACAUAAUGCAUAACCAUAGAACAUCUAUUUAAGUUCUGAAUUUUUUUCGUAGUUUGUAUUGUGAGGAUAAUUCCAUAAAUGUCCCAUAAAAAAAAAUCAAAAAAUCAAAACAAGAAAAAAAAAAGUUUAAUAAAAAGUUGAGUCGACCUGAAGUACUAAAUCUUUUAGUCUUUUAAGUUAAUUAAUUUUCAUUUCAAAGUUGAAACGUAAGAAAGAGAUGAAAAUAGAUUUGUGCAAAAUUGCUAAGAACGUAAAUACAAAAGCUCUGGCGGGUCAGGAAAUUGCAUGGAGGGGCGCAUGGCUUUAAAAAGCUGUCUGGUGCACAGCUUUAAAAAAAAAAAAAAAAAGGAAUCUGCCCGACAACAAAUUCUGUCAGCCACACCUGCUAAAAUUGUGUCAGGGGGGGGUGCGGCUGAGACAGCCCGGCACCAAUGUGGAUUUUUUUAAAAAAAAAAAAAAAAAAGAAAAGUGUCAGGUGCCGGGCUGAGACAGCCCGGUACCCAUAAAUUUAUACCCCCUACCUGUCAGAUCCGUAUGUAGACGUCUUUUUUUCUUUCAAGCAAUAGUCUAAGGAAUUAGCCCAGUUGUUUCGACUUUCGAGGGUCGUCUACCUCAGUGAUUUUGUCUGCGUUUCAGGGGUAUUCUUCUCUUUGUUUUGGGUUUUCCUGUCCUUUUGCAUCCUAUUAUCAAUAUUUUUGUGCUCCUUUUUGACGCCUUCUUAAAUGGUACUCUCUCUGUUUCAUUUUGAUAGUUCUGUUUUUUUUUUUUACGCAGUUUAACAAAAAAUAGUUAACUUUGUUGAAAAAAUAAAUUUUGAUUACUAUUUUUCUAAAAUACCCUCACAUUAAAUAUGAUACAAUUUUAUUGGAAUUUGAAUUAAUGGUAAAAAAAGAAUCAAUUCUCAUUUAAUAUGGUAGGUUUAUAGUAACAACUACUUAUAUUGAAUAAGGGUAUUUUAGGAAAAUUAAAAUACAACUACAUUCUUCAAUUGGAAAGUGGACUACAAUUUGGGACAGAUAAAAAAGAAUAUAGAACUAUCAAAGUGGGACGGAAGAAGUGCUAAUUUACUGUUCUAAGCUGCCAUGCUUUCUCUAUUUUACUACCCUUUUCGUUUUCUUGCUUUUCGUUAAUUAUUGGCUUCUAAAGUCUCUUCCUGUCUUUCUGCCUUAUUCCUAUGCCCUUUCGUGUAUUUUCACUUCACUAAUUGCGCGAGCUUUUUGGGUAUGCAACGUACCUUUUCAUCCAGUAAUCCACCGUCAUUAAGCACUUGGAAAAGGGUUCACCUUUACAAGCACAUUGUCAUGUGGAAAAGGGUUUGUCACUAUUUAGCGUUUUUCUUUCUUGUUCAUGUGAUAAACGCCAAGCUAAAAAUGCUGUAACCUAGAGGAGCAAAAGGGCUAGAUCAUGACCGUGUCACUAUUUUGAAGUUAAAAGAAAACCACACAAAUUUUCUACUUGAUUAAUUAGUGUCACUUUUUCAGUAGUAAUUCAGUGUCAUUUCUACACAUUAUUUACACCUUAUUUACACACACUGAUUUAUUUGGAUCAUUAACACAUUUUUCAAUUACCUUUUUAUCUCACAUACAUCACAUCAAAAAAAGUUCUACAGUAUUUUUUUAAUAAAAUUAUCUCAAAUAAUUUACUAUCCAAACACACUCUACGUUUAUGUCAAAUGUUUUAUUUAUUUAACUUGUCAUGCACUAUUUAUUUAAAUUUAUUCUACUUAUACCUGAUAAAUGGAAUUACACUAAAUUUAACAUCGAAUAAUGAAACGGAGGAUCCCAACUGUUGAUUAAGCCACUUACAAAUCAAACGUAAGAGUUGCAUGGGAGACCUGGGACAGUGGGACUUGCCUUUGGCAACUUGGCAUGUCACUUAUUAAGGUGGGUGCAGAAGGACAGACAUAAUUUGGCCUUAAAAGCUCGAUUGAUCAGUUUACUCGGCUCGAUAAGGUCUGACUUUGAGUCAGGCCUGAUCAGUUUACUCGACUCGAUAAGGCCUGAUCUUGAGUCAGGCCUUAUCGAGUCUGAGUCAGGCCUUAUCGAGUCGAGUAGAGUCUCGAGCCUUUAAAAAGGAUUUCCUCGAGUCAAGCUCGAGUUGAGAUUCUCCGACUCAAUCGAGCUCGAAUAUAAUCAAUUAUAGGCCGAGUCGAGAUCGAGUAUAGCAGUACUCGAACUUGACUCGACUCGAGUACACCCCUAGACAUAAUUGGGUUGCUGUAACGAUAGUUCAGGGCCGACAUGGCUGACAUGGCAAGCAAUGGGGAUUCCAUGCGAGCACAGAUGCUUGUGUUUUGACCUCGGAUUCGAUAAGGAGGAAUCGUUGCUCAGCCCAGAAAGAAAAAAAAACUUGAUCACCAGAGCAGACACAGUGAAUAUUCGUCUUAUGUAAAACCUUAGACAAUGCCUCCCCACCCCACGCCAUCCUUUAUUCUACAAUAUGUGACCAUUCUCUAAAGCAGUCCAAUUCUCCUCAAUAAUACUUGCCAGAAUCCACAUCCUAAGGGGCGAUGCAAAAAAUAGCCGUAGCUUUUGAAUUUUGGGAUAUUCUGCGACUGUUUUUCACUGCUACUCGAGGGAGCUAGGUGGAGCUUUCGCCUUCGCCUUCCGAUAGCGCUACUAGUGCUUGGUGUGUUAAUCGUGAUGGUUAUAGGCACACUUUCUAAACAAAGAACGUCGAGUGCUUGCUUCACCUAAAAAAUAUAUCCUUGAUCUUGAUAACUGAUUGUGACCAUAAAAGCAAGAUAAUGACUCCAAAUUCCCUUUCCCUUUCCCUUUAUGAAUUCGAUCUAAACAUCUGAAAUUAGGGGAAUUAUACCAGGGUUAUUGGCUUGCAGUCUUGUGGGCUGCAAAAGACUCUGCGAUUUUGCUGCAAUGCCAAGGUUGGGUUUUACCUUUUUAUUUUAUUCUCUUUGUGGGGGUGGGAGGCGGUAAAAGGAUAGUCUGAUGCAAGCUUGUUAUGAUAUGAGGUGGUGUGCAUCUAACUUUGACCGUUUCUACUGAUAAGAUCUUCAAUACGAGUAUGAACAUGAAUCAAUACUAAUCUUUUAAAGUGAAAAGCUGAUAAAUGCUCCAAUAACACUUCAAAUGCACAAACAAUUUUCAAUUGUUCUCACGGGAAAGAAUUAAGGGCCAGCUUUUGAACUUUCGUAAUGUCAUGAUAUGGUAGAGAGUGCUAGGUGCGAGAUGUGAAUAAACAAAUGAUUUGGGUUUUAGUGAACGUGAGUAGUAAAGUAUCUCAGUUGGAUAUGGAACUGGACGCCCAUUACGAAAAUCCAUUAGUCAUCUGUAACAAAGAUUUCAAGCGUUUUUUAAACUGCCGCGUUUCACUGCAUUUAUACAAUCAAUAAAGGGAUUUUAAUUGGGUGAUAUGCUAAAGAACUUAAUGCCACAUUCUAUGCAUGGGGUCAGAAAUCUCAAUUAUACGCUAAAUAUCGCUGGCUUUCGUGUUCAAAUAUGAGCUUUGACCAUCACGAUUCUUGAGCAAUAUCAGGUCAGGUCCAUCACAGAAGUCGCCAUUUCAACCGUCCCUUCUAUCGUUUGCCAGCCACAACUUGUUAGUUCGAUCCUUGCGUGUGUGUCGCCACCGCAAACGCUUUCCCAGUCAGCAGAGCAGUCUCCACUCUCCCGGGUCCAGAAGACUAAUGGGAGUGCUUUUGCAGUAUAUUUAUUUUUCGGAUGGGUUCAAUGAUUGAUUUAAUUAAUUUGUUGGACUUGGACCACAGCGUCUCACAGCUUUGCACCUCAGAUGCUCCAUCCUCAAAAUAGCAAGUUAAACGAUAAAAAUUGCUGAUUAUCCAAUCCAAUCCAAUGAAAAGAGGGCAUGGGCAUCACUAAAGAAAGUAGUAUGAAGUUUGAAGAAAACUGUUAAAUCAUAUUCAAACGAAAUUAUCACAUCUUUCCCUCGUAUCCCUUUUUCUUUUACUUUUUUCCACCCAGAAACUCAUGGCCCUUCCCUCGUCCCCAUUUACCUCAAAGGCUUCAGCUUUCCACAUCCCUCCGGAAUCCAAUCCCCCUUGCAGCCUCCUGCAAAAGCAUCCUUCCCUAUCCCUUCUCUCCGGAUGCAAAAAUAUGGAGACCCUCAAACAAAUCCACGCCCAAUUCAUAAAAUUCGGCCUCCACAAUACCCAUUUCGGGCUAAGCAAACUAGUCGGCUUUUGCGCCUUAAGCCAGUCUGGUAACUCAAAUUACGCGCUACUAAUCUUUGACGCCAUUGAGAAUCCCACCGAAAUCUUAUGGAAUACAAUAAUUCAUGGGUACGCGUUAAGCUCAAAUCCUGAAUUAGCUCUGGAGUUUUACGUAAAAAUGGUUUCGUUAGGCAAUUAUCCAAAUUCCUAUACAUUUCCUUCCCUUUUCAAGUCUUGCAAGAAAUUAAUGGCAGCCCAGAUAGGAAAACAAGUUCAUGGAUGUGUGGUUAAACUCGGUUUGGACAGUUAUGUUCAUAUACAUACUUCAAUUAUCAAUAUGUAUGCUCAAAUUGGUGAACUCGGUCAUGCUAGACAAGUGUUUGAAAAAAGUAGUUUCAGAGAUGCCGUGUCUUUUACAGCACUGAUAGGUGGCUACGUUUCGAGGGGCUGUUUGGAUGAGGCUAGGGAACUUUUUGAUGGGAUUCCUGUUAGAGAUGUGGUCUCAUGGAAUGCUAUGAUUUCAGGAUAUGCUGAAGUGGGAAGAUUUGGGGAGGCCUUGAGUUUGUUUGAAAAUAUGUGGAAGUUAAAUGUCACGCCUAAUGAGAGCACAUUAGUGAGUGUUCUUUCUGCUUGUGCACGUUCAGCCGGGCUUCAACUGGGGAAGCGGGUGGAUUCUUGGAUCAAUAGAAAUGGGCUUGAUUCGAAUCCUCGACUGGCUAACGCUCUGGUUGAUAUGUAUGCGAAAUGUGGUGAGAUUGAUACAGCUCGAAGUGUGUUUGAUGGUAUGGAAGUGAAAAAUAUUGUUUCGUGGAAUGUUAUGAUCGGCGGACAUACGCAUGUGAGUGAGUAUAAAGAAGCCUUGGCUGUUUUUCGCCAUAUGCAACUAGAGCGUGUGGAACCUAACGAUGUUACAUUCUUGAACAUUCUUCCAGCUUGCGCGCAUAUGGGCGCUUUAGAUAUGGGCAGAUGGAUACAUGUUUAUAUCAACAAAAAUUGCCAUCACUUGCAAAAUUCCUCACUUUGGGCGAGUCUUAUUGACAUGUAUGCUAAAUGCGGAAGUAUCGAAGCUGCAAAACAAGUGUUCUUUGGGUUGGAAACUAAAAGCCUGUCUUCUUGGAAUGUGAUGAUAUCAGGGCUAGCCAUGCAUGGGAAUGCACAUGGUGCAAUUGAUCUUUUCUCCAAAUUGAUUGAGGAGGGUAUCGAACCUGAUGACGUUACUUUUGUUGGUCUUUUGUCAGCUUGUAGCCAUGGUGGUUUGGUUGAACUUGGUCGCCUGCAUUUUAGUUCCAUGGUCCAAGAUUACAAAAUCCAACCCAAAUUGCCGCACUAUGGAUGCAUGAUUGAUCUUUUGGGUCGAGCUGGAUUAUUCGAUGAAGCAAAGUCACUGUUGGAGUGUAUGGAUAUUGAGCCUGAUGGUGCCAUAUGGAGUUCCCUUCUUGGAGCUUGCAGGAUUCAUGGAAACCUUGAAUUAGGUGAAUAUGCUGCCAGCAGCCUUUUCAAAUUGGACCCCAACAAUCAUGGAGCAUAUGUGCUUUUGUCAAAUAUCUAUGCAGGAGCAGGAAGGUGGAAUGAUGUAGCUAGAAUAAGAACCAUGCUCAAUGAUAAUGGACUGAAGAAAGUUCCUGGCUGCACGUCCAUUGAACUAGACUCCGUUGUGCACGAGUUUCUUGUCAGUGAUAGGACACAUCCACAGAGCGAAGACAUAUACAGGAUGUUGGACGAAAUAGAUAGGCGGCUAGAAAUGGCAGGGCACGUUCCCAAUACAUCGGAAGUCCAUUAUGACAUGGAUGAGGAGUGGAAGGAAGGGAUACUGAGUCAACACAGUGAGAGGUUGGCGAUUGCAUUUGGAUUGAUCAGUACAAAACCGGGAACGACCCUGAGGAUUGUAAAGAAUCUCCGAGUUUGUGGCAACUGCCAUUCGGCCACAAAGCUGAUAUCUAAGAUAUUCAACAGGGAGAUCAUUGCCAGGGAUCGCAAUCGGUUUCACCAUUUCAAGGAUGGCUGUUGCUCAUGCAUGGACUAUUGGUAGAUUUGUUGCACUUUAGGCAAACUAAGUUAGAUUUCAAUUGAUGGCUGUUUCCUAGUUGGAGUUUGCAGCUCAAAAUGGAAAAUUACAUUAAGCACUUAGCUGUUUAUAACGUGAAAGCUCCGAAUCUAUAUGACUAAUGUUGCAAAUGAAAGUUGGUUGCAUCUCUUAAAUAGCAAUAGACAAUUGGUACAAUUAACUGGCUAAUAUUUUUUAGAAAAAAAAAAAAUUUUUUGAACCAUCAAUUAAUGUUCAGUGAUGAUGAUACUUGUGGCCUUUAAGAAUGGUCCAGGCCCGAUAGAGCUGCUCCAUUAGCACAACAAGAGCAACUUCAUGAUUCAAGACCAAAGAUGACAACUUGAUUGAGACAUUGGCCCGCCGGCGCAAAAGUCGUCCAUGACCAUAAGGUCCACCAAUGCAAAAUAGAAGGCUCGGAGCUCCAUCAAUUAAAGCGUUCCCAAUGAAUGAAGCCGUUUGAAUAGAAUCCAGCUCCAGCCCACGCUCGUCCAACAGCACAACCCAUUCAUCCUGGGACUUGAUACACCGCAUGCAAGCCUGGUCCUCAUGUUCAAUCUGAACCGUCGGAUCGCGAGCACUCUUGGGGUUGGAUUUCACCCGAACAUCCUCAACCGGGCAAUAGUGGCUGAGUUUGUUAACGUAAUCGUCAACUAUGAGUUGCACCCCGGCUGACCUCUUCUUGCCCACCGUCAGUAUCCGGACGGGUAUUGGUCUCACGGAUUGACCAGUAAAUCGGAGUGGACCCGGAGGAGGAAUUGAGUACUUCGCGGUUACACCAGAAGAAGAAGAAGAAGAGAGCAGGGCUUCCAUCAGAAAAUGCGAGGAAGCAAGGACUCGGAGGAGAUGAGAUUGAAGUGUAAAUUGGCCUUUGACAAAACCAAUUGCCAAAUCUGGUAGGACGAAAAACGUUGCAGUGGCCGGAGGAGACGAGUCAAGACGUGCAAAUGGUGGUGUUAGCCUGCUGGAGAACAAAACCGGGUUCUAACUUCUAAUGGAUUUGGCCCAACUUUUGUUUUUAUUGGUAUCGAUUAGGCCCAAGGUAUUGCAUGAGUUGGGUUUCCCCGAAUUUUAAAGCCCUUCAAUCCAAUCGUGUUUUAAUGAUAGUGCGUCUUAUUGACCAUAAGUUUGUUUUUUUUUUUCCGGUCUAAGAAGUAUUUUGAGUGAAAUCACUCAGACUAAUUUUCCAAGGUGGCAGAGCUCACCCUAAUGAUACCAGCAACAAUAUUAUAGCAAGUGGGGGUUAAACUUGAGAACUUGUUGUAAAAUCGACCAAUCUCAGCCGAACUACCCACUAGGGGCUCUUAUUGACCAUAAGUUGGUGUUGACAAAAUUACACAUUAGUACCGUAUAAUCAAACUUUUUUCCGUAUAUAAAUUUCUCAUCGGCAUUCAAGGUAGGGUGCGGCCAGCUUUGAAUUUGACCGACCCCAAGUAAAUAGGUAGAUUGGAACAUUGGACUAGAUAUUCAGAUUAGGAAAAAAAAAAAAAGGUAAAGGAGCUUCGAUUGGACACAAAAUCCGGGGAUGGAUUCUCUUAAAAGCAGAAAAGAAGCUCAACAUUUUUAUUUAUGCAUUCACAAACCAUAGAUAGAUGGCGGUAGCAGUCAAUAGUAUUUAGUACCGCAACAACAACGACAACUGCAUCCUAGUUCGCUAGGAGGAGUACAUAAUUAGCAUUAAAGCAAGUGCUAGUUGUUAGAGGCUGAUGAGGAGGUCUGCCGAUUGAAGGAGUUUCGCCUUGCUGUUGCCAAAACAGUCUUGUCCGCUACGAUGAAAUAAGCCAUUCCAGCCACUGCAACAUUAAUUUGAAACCAUAGAAAUCUUGCUAAAUAAUAAUUUCUUUUAGCUUGGCCGGGUGUUACAACACCAGAGUUGCAAAGACGAUGAUGUUAAUUAAUUAUUAGGAGUUAGAGAAAGAUGCUGACUAUUACUAGUAGCAGCAGCAUUUGUUACCUGUGGAAACAAUGAGAGCUUGGGCAGUUGGGUUGAGAUUGGCUCUUGCCCACGGGACCAUUCUUGCACUAGCCAGCUGCAUGCAUUUCUCACUUUUUUUACUACUUAUUUGCAAGACAGAGAAAAAAAGAAAAAAAAAAGAACAAAUACUACUAUAUGUUAAGCGUGUGGAAUUUUCAUCUGAUUAUACCUUUUUCUGAUUUUUCUCAUUCAUUUGAAGCUCAAAAACCUUUUUUUUCCUUUUUUUUUUAAAAAUUGGGUCACCCUUUUUUCGGAUAACAAAGACAGAUUAUUUAAUCUGCAAAUGCAAUCGAUAUUACGAAGUGAUUUUUCUUAAAAUUUACAACGCGAACUACGAAGCAUGGAUGGGCUUACAGUUGGGAUGGCAGUUGCAAUAGAAGCAACCGCAGCUGCUUUAGCUCCGGCGACGACACCCUCUGCGGAUGCAACGAUCAACACUUGUCAAUUUUACAUGUUUGCUUUCGAAAGCAUCGUUUUUAUCAGAAAGUUUUCUUGUUAAUUGAUGCAACUUUUUUUUGUUUUGGGGGGUCCUACUUUAUGAGUGAAAAGGAGCAGCGUGCUACUAGCUAGUAAUAAUUAGAAGAAGAAAAAGGAAAAGUUAGCUGUACCGUACCAUGAGAACAACGUUUGGCCAUGGCUAGCUUAUGGUCUAGCGAUGCCAAGCUGCAGCUUCUCUCAAGAGGAGACUGAGCAACAUUUUUGGCAGCAGCCAUUCUGGUAGUAGCCUUGUUGAAGGAAAUGCGGAAGGUUAUAACACUGGAGUAAAUUGAUUUUGGAAGGAGAUAAAUAAAGAAAUGCUUCCGGGGGUCUGCCUAAUUAGUGAGGUGAGUUUGGCUAUUUAUAGAACCCCCAGCGGCGAAGGUGGACAUAGAUUUCAUAUGUCUCUGUGGCAAAAGAUUUGUAACUGGUGGGAGUUGCUGACAGAGUUUGAUGGUUUCGGUUGAUAUCCAACGUCGGGAGUCACUUGUUUUCUUUAGUUUCUGCUACCACCUUUUUUUUUUUGUGGUCGGCAGAUUCUUUUUACGGGAUCGACUUUGCCCCAGACCAAAUAUCAUGAUUUACGUCGAACCAAGUUAACAAAUACUUAUAGUAACGUCCCACCAAAUGUACGGAGACUGAUGUAAGCUAAAGUUACUACAUUAUCCCCCAAUGUAUGGAGACUGAAGUAAGUUAAGUUAAAGUUAACAAAUACUUAUAGUAACGUCAAUUAGCCCUCCCCCCAAUGCAUGGAGACUGAAUAAGUUAAAGCUACUACAUUAUCCUUUUAUUGCUUUGCCCUCCCCCUUUUUUAUGCCCAAAAAAAUUCCUUUUCUUUCUACUCUUUUUUCAUUUUAACCUUUUCAUCCAUGUUCAAAGGUGGGUACGAUUUUUUAGGGAUAAUUUUAGAAACCUUGCUGAAAAUUUUAAUUAUUUCACUAUUCUCUCUUUAGAUUUAAAAAAUUACACUGACCUCUCUAGAGAUUUAUUAUAUUGUAACGUCUAGAUCCAACCAGUAAUAAAAAGGUGAUAUUGAGUGAGAGAAGAUAACAUGAUUCCACCAUUGUCUUUCAUCUACUAUAUUAUUUGGUUAAUCUAAUAUCAAUCUACACAUUAAAGAAAAACACUAUAAUUUGUUGUUUCUUAUUAGGGAUCAAAUCACAUAUAACAUCAAAAAAUUAUAUAUCAUUCAAUAUAUUUCACAUCCAAAUUACUCUUUUCAAUUACAAAUCCAUUAUAAAAUAUAAUCAAUAACAAACAAUCAAAAUGCAACGAAAAAAAUUAAAAAGAGCUAACUUUAAUACUAUAAAAAUCUCCACAACUAACCUUAAUAUAUUUACAAGGAUAUUUGUGAUGUUCACGUUUGCUCUCUAUAAUGUUCUGGUUGCAAAAAUUUUUAAUUAUUUGUUAUUAAUCAGGUUUGAUAGUAAGUAUGUAACCAAAAAUAAUAAAUUUGGAUCUUGCAUUAAAUGAAAAAAUAUAGAAUAAUAUACUAUUUUUUGAUACUAUAUGUGAUUUGAUCCAUUUAGUGUCUUCUUUAAUGUGUGAAUUGGUAUUUAAUUAACUAGAUAAUGUAGUACAUGAAAGGUAAUGAUGGAAUCAUAUUUUUUCUCUCCUAAUAUCACUUUUUAAUGACUGAUUAAGUCUAAAUGUUACAAAAUAAUUAACCUUAAGGAAGAUUAGUGCAAUUUUCAAACUUUGAAAGGAAGGUAAUGAAAUAGUUAAAAACCUUAGGAGAGGUUUCUGAAAUUAUUGCCUUUUUAUCCAUAAUUAAGUAAUGCCCCCGCCCCCUCAAAUCCCUUAAUUCCCAUCCCGGUUGGUGAUUUUGCCUUCCCCAUGUAAAUAUACUCUACUCUGUACAAGGGUACAUCGGUCACCUCACCUAACGUGAUUGUCAGUAGUCAGGUGUCUUGCCCUAAAACUCAAAUAGCAGUGGAAAAAGUUAAAAUGCAAAGAAUUAAGGAACUUCAAAGAAUUAAGGAACUUGUGAUAAGAUAGUCCAUUUCAUCGACUCGAGUUUCUGAAUUCUUACCAACUCAAGAAGCACUUAAUUAAUUAAAAGGAGCAAGAUGAGGGGAGCCAGUGGUUUGAGUAGAGGAGAAAGCGCUCCCCAAAACCGUGGGUGAGUUUUUGGAUCCAGUGUGCAACUUGGAUAAGCAAUGCAGCAUAUCAUCGAGAUGUUAACACGUGUCCCAAUAAUCAGGACUAAUAGCUAUAUUUUAUUUAAUUUGUUUUUUAAAAAAUGCGCUAUGUAGCUCUAGGGCCAAAUUAGGUUUGAUAGUAGUAAAUUAUUUUUUUUUACAUAUAUAUGGUAAUAAAAGUGCAAAUGGUUUUCGUUUGACAAUGGGGAGGUGGACGAGGGGCAGUGACAACUUGGUUUUGAGUCCAGAGACGGGAUGAUAAUAAAAUGGGUCAACCUCUUGAAGUUAGGUGACCCAUAGCAUACAUUAAGUGGAGUGGAGUAAAAUUUUCAACAAUUGUUCCAGUGGCUUAAAAAACUGGAUUAGCUAUUUUUUGGGACGUUUUUGAAAAAUUUUGCUGUAGCAGAAUUUUUAGAAUAUAUUUUGAAAUAUUUUUAGAAAAUAUUUUAAAAUAUUUAAGAGUAGAAGAGUUUCUAAAAUAUAUUUUGAGAUUUUUUUAAAAUUUUUUAAAAAAAUUAAACUAAUUUUUAGAUUAUCUUUUAAAAUAUGUUUUAAAAAUUUUUAUUGUAUUUAAAAAAUUAAUUUUUAAAAAAUACUCUAAAAACAAGGAUCCAAACAGAGUCAAUGGGAUUUGGGAGGUGGUGGCAAAGUUCGAACCAGUAAAUCCUUGUGUCUUAGGUGUACUUUUGUGCCCGUACCACGUUCAGACCCAAAAAAAAGAAAAAAAAAAAAAAAAAAGGGUUAAAUGCCAGUAUAUUCCACAACAAGAAGUCAUGAAUUGACGUCAAGAAGCUUGCACUUUCAACUUUUGACUCUUACUAAAAAUAAACUAAUGAGCUUUGGUUUAGUGGUUAUAAAAAAGGAUCAAGUCCUCUUUGAAUUAUAAAUCGGAGAUUCGAAUUUUAUCUGUAAUAAAAAAAAUUUUAAAAGAGGUGUCAUACCACUCUUUUGACUCUUAUACCUACCAAUUUUUUUAGGCUCUUUUCCCUUUAGAUUAGAAUAGAUUAUGUUAUCGGAGACAUGUGGUUGCCUUAAAAAUAAAGUACUUAAAAUAAAAAGUUAUGUUUUGAUCAGCCCCCCCAAAAAAUAAAAAAUAAAAAGUCAUGAAUAUUAAAGAAAGCAACCUAAGACCAGCUAGUUUAACAACCAAGUGUUCCUGGCUUUUGCGAGAAAUAUGAACUGCUCCAAGUAGAAGAAUUUUGUGAUAUCCUCUAAAAGAUGCUAAGAGGGGCCGGCAUAGUUCAGAGGGGACAAGCAAGCAAGCAUGAAGCAUCGCAUGCAGUCGAGAAGCACACGACAAACAAUUUUUCCUCCGUCAUCGGGUUUCAGAAGGGGCUUGGAGCGACACGGGUUUUGGGGUCUGCAUCGUAGAUGUCUAGGGAUGGGCUUUUACAGUAGGCCCAUGUUCAAUUAGCGAUUGGCCCGCAUCCUCAUAUGUGCCCAAAUCCCUACGCCACUCUCCCUCUCCAGAGUUACUCAGACUAUGAAAAUCUCUCUCUCUCUCUCUCUUACCGUCUGAGAAGUAAAAAUAAAUAUGAUAAUACUAAUAAUAACGGAAAACAAGAAACUCCGUUAAUUUCCACUUCACAUCAGUGCUUUAUAUAGAAGAAGAAGAAGAAGAUAAGGUUGCGGUAAGAUUUAAUUGUGAUUAGUAAUCAUUUCAAAGACUCGGAAAAAGCGCUCUGAGGGGGUAAAAGCUUGUGCAGUGCAAAGAGAGCAAUCCAGUCAUUGCUCACAACUAAGCAACUGUAUCAAUCAUUAAUUACUGAUACUUCAAUCUAAUAAGGAAGCAUACAAACUAGCAAUCAAAAUAUUUAUGGGUUUUUUUUUUAUUUUGCCCUUUUAAUACAUACAAGCAGUUCAUUCAAUAGAACCUCUUGAAAAAUUUUAACUAGCUAGUUAAACUUAACUCAUGAUCAGAAAAGUACUUAAAAGCUUGUUUGGAUUGCCAUUUUCCACCGAAAAAUGGCCUUAUUUUCCGUGAACACAUUUCCCUAUCACCUUUUUACCUCACAUACAUCAAAUCGUUACAGUAAUUUUCCAACGAAAAAUCCAUGAAAAAUGCAAUCCAAACGCAACCUAAGAUGCUGGUCGUAUACAUGCAUGGGAUCUUGGAGAAGACUAGAUUAUCACAGCUUUCAGCGAUAAGAUGAUGAUACGUUUUUGGGUCGAAUACUGAAUCGGAAGUAGCGUCAGCAACAAUUUAAGAAACAGAAAUGUGAGAGAUCAGGAAGAGAUGCUAAAUUGACGGGACUCACAAUUGCAUUCGUCUCCUGAAAGAGAAAUGGAGACACCAUUUUUGGGUGAUUAAAAUUACUGUAAAGGCCAGCAAUAACAGUAACUUGGUUGAUAUAUAUAUAUACACACACAUAUAUUAUAUAUAUCGUGUGCAAGUGCAAACACUAAAAGGCGCGAUGAACAAAAGAAAAAAUUGGCCACAGACACUUUCCCCGCAUGCAAACGGGAUCUGACAUUAGUCUCGAAGCAAAAAAUUCAUCAAAUGUUGGUGGGGGAGUAGUCCUUUAUUUAUCCUGCAUGUGAUCCCUCAACUCCCCUCCCCUCCCAAACUUGAUUAGGCUACUUUUCACUCACGUACUUUAAUUGAGCAAAACCCACCUACAAAGUUUCCAUAAUGAAGCCUUAAUUGGUGGUGGAUUACAAUCAAUUUGAUUUAGAUAAGAUGCUUAGUUUGCACUGUCUCUAAACUCAUCUAAUAUAUUGUGGAACAUCUAAUAAAUAGUACAUCAAAAGCCCCAGAAUGUGAACAUAUUGCUUCGGUUUUCUCUUCUCUCUCAAAAGAAAAAAAAAAAACCAUAUUUCUUCAAGCAUCAUGUUGCUCUAUAAUUUUAAAGCUACCAUCCAAGUUUAUUAGUAACCCAUUAAUAACGCACGCAGUUAUUAGUGCCUCUCCAGAAGAUCUUAUUACAGAAUCAACAUGAAAAUCUCACACAACGUACGUAAGUUAGUGAGCUCAUGAUAAUAUGCCCAUGAUUGACACAUAUACACACACAUAUAUACAUAUAUAUGUGUGUGUGUGUGUUCCUUUAGCUGGUCCCGGCAGCAGGAUAGAUGGCAUUACAUGGGAUUCUCGUAUAUCAUCUUCUAGUGCACGAGAAUCCUAUAGCAGGUUCAGUUUUCUUUGAGUUAAUCUCUCAAUAAUAGGAGCGUUAGGAGUGGAGCUGAACCAAGUAACUCGACUCGAACUCGCGAGCUACUUGGUCAGCAGCUCGAGCUCGAGCUCGGUUGACCAAGCUCGAUCUCGAGCUCGAGCUCGGUUGACCAAGCUCGAUCUCGAGCUCGAGUCGCUCGUUAGAGCUAUCGAGUCGAGCUCGAGUUUGAAAAUAUGAUAUUUGAAGGCUCGACGAGCUCUAUCGAGUUUUUUGUAAUAUAUAUUUUUAAUUUUUAUUAUUAUGAAAUGUCAAUAAUAUUCUUUAUUUAAAAUUAUAUAUAAAAUAUUAAUUUUUAUUACUUGAACUUGAUUGAGCUCGAAUAAACUCGAUUGAAUUUGAUUUGAAUUGAUUACAUUUAAUUAAACUCGAACUCGAGUUCGAGUUCGAGUUCGAGUUCCAUAAAUUGAUGUCGAGCUCGAGUUCGAAUUUUAAAAAUUUGACGAGCUCGAACUCGAACUCGAGUUUAGUUAUUUUGCCUCGAGUCAAGCUCAAGUAGUGCACUACUCGAGCUCGACGGCAGCCCUAAGGAGCGUGGCGUGGUUAUCUCUAAAUAAAGUUCGCCGCCGCCGGCAUGCAAGAACGUAAAAGCAGAUGUCUUGCCUGCUAAAGUGUGAAAGGAAGUCUUGCUACUAAUUACUACUAGUUUUUUUAACAUAUAUAUAUAUAUAUAUAUAUAGAGAGAGAGAGCAAAUCAAAACGUUAUUUAACUUAUGUUGAUAGCAAUUGUCUAAAUUGGAUUUUUUUUUUUUUGGCUUGCAGAGGUAUAAAAAUUUAUUGGAAACAUAAAAAACAUGAAUGUAUAUUAGCUUUUUAUUUGACCAUUCAACACAUAAAAAAUAAAAGUUACCAAGGCAUAUUCCAUGUACAGAUCGUCCUGCUACCAGUUAUAAAAUGGUAAACUAUUACACAUAAACAUCAUACCACCAUUUUGAACCCACCAUACCAUUUUUCGGUGUUCAUAACCAAACACUUGUAUUUGCUAUUGGUCCUGUUUCAUUCAUGAUACUUAAUUGGUUCUCCAAUGCAAGCAUAUAUACAAAGUUUACAUUGUAAAUAGACAUCUAAAUGUGUCGAGCAAAAAGGUAUUCUGCUUUUUAAUCUCAUAUUCAUGAUAACAAUGAUUUAAAUGUUUUCAUGUGAAUUGUUACACCAAUUUAAUUUGCAUAUAUACGUUCGUCUGUGGCCUAUAUAUUUUGCUACACGUACCAAUUUCUUCUUUAUUUUGUUUUUUCAGAUGAAUAUGCUGUAUUUUAGCUUGUUGGUCUAUGUUCGUUGAUUAGCCAAAUAGUCUCGUUGGUUGCCAGACUAGUAACCCUAAAACCUGCACCAAUAUUAAAUCGUCUGCUGGGUCGGGUACGUCUUCGUCAAAACAAUGAUGUUCCAUGUAUCCAUCAUUUCUAUCCAAUGGUUUGUUAUUUCUAACAGCAAAAGGAAGUCUUCCUUUCACCUUUUGUAUUGCCACUUCACAGUCGUGUUUUCAAGGAAUCAUUGCAAACGAUACGGAAAAAGCUAAUUAGAAAUAAUGGAACUAGCAAAGCACUCGUAUCUAUUGGGGAAAACAAAUAAAUUCAGAUCGAUGAGGAAAAGCAAAGACAUCAUGGGCUCGUCUGAUUCUUCUCCUUUAAUCAGUAAAAGAAACCAUAAGUGCCUGCGACAAUGAAAGUACCCAGAUGAAAAAAAAAGGGUUGAGAUAUUAACAAAAAGGGAUAUUUGCAUCCCUAGUAAACUUUCUAUUUUAUUCUAUUUUCCAUCAUUCAGAAAACAAUAAUGGCCAUCACAUGAGGUCAUGAGUUCUCGUGAAAUAAACAUGGGGACAAUUAUGGUCUGCCCCAUCCUUUACACGUAUACAAAUUUCUGAACUAAAGGAGAUGUUUAAACUUUAAUGCUGCAAGUUGAUCUGAGGAAAGAAGAUUGCGUUUAAACAAAGGUUUCUCAUAAAGCAAGGGGGGAAAAAAAAAAAGGGAUUCAGAAAAAUUUACAAAUCGCUGCACUCGGCGAAAAUUCAGAAGCAGAGGAGGUUAGUGGAGACUGGAGAUUGUAGAGGAGAAUACGGAUUUUCCUUGAUCAAUGGUACUUCCCUCCCUCCCGCCAGCAAACUGUCUCCUUUAUAGCGGAGAGAACUACAAUCUUUAUGGCAGACACGGGAGGCUUUCGUUUGUUUUUAAAGCACGGUGUUGGGUAUAGCUUUUUUUUUUUUUUUUUGGCGAAAAUGUUAGAAAUAUUAUUGAUAUCAAAACAAGCUAUAUAAUAUCGAACUUUACGAAUGUGUACUUCAAUACCAAAAAUUCAAGUAUUCCUCGUCUUAUAGUAACUAAAUUACAAAUGGUGACGAUUGUGUAUAACAACAUAGCAAUAUAAGAGACAUUUCUAGUUUAUCAAAACGCAUUAAAUGUUCAAUUCUUUUUUUUUUUAAUGUUUUCCUAAGAACAGUGUACCGAAUUUCCAUUCACCACCCUUAAGGAGAAUAUAUUUAAUCAUCUGACUUAAAAACAAAAAUAUUUACUAAAAAAAAAAAAACGAUGCAUCUUUGAUAUUUACUAAAACAAAACAUCAUUUGUGUCCUUUUCUGUUUGAUGAUGACAUUUAUGUCCUUUCGACUAUUUCGUUUCUUUUCCAGUUUUCGUUCAGAAAUCAAUGAUACAAAUUACAGGGUAGAAGCAAUCAUGAUUAACUAAGCACUUAAGCAGUAUAUAUUUCAAAGCCUUGUUAAACAAUUAGAUAUGAUGCUUACAAUAUGAUCUGCCCCCUAAAUUCUCCUUACCUAGAGUAAAACAUGCACGUAGAAAGACACUCAAACAGCUCACAGUCUUCUAGGAUUACAUAAUUCACUCGAAAAUUCCUGCAAAACUCAUAGUAAUUAUUUACACUUCACACUCAAAAGUAAUCAAAAUGAUGAGGAAUCUGAUAUGGAGCUUCUCUAUCUUUCUUGCUUAAUUUGGGUAUCAUAACUCUACUCCUAAUCUUGUGAAGAUCACAAGGGACCUCAGGUGGCCUAACAGACCUAAUCAAAGCCCAAUUCACACCAUUAAAGAACUCGUGCCUCUUGAUUUCAACCGAACCCUUCGAACUUCCAAUUCUCUUCUUGGGAUUCUUCACUAACAACUUGCUAAUCAGGUCUUGAACUUUCAACAGUUCCUCGUACUCCUUGGUCGUGCUCACACCGAUUCUUGGAAAAGCCAACGGCUGUUUCAAUAUGUUAAUCAGAGUUUUCUCAUUAUUCUCACCCUUGAACGGUGUUUUCCCGAACAACAAUUCGUACAAGAACACCCCAAAAGUCCACCAAUCUACAGCACUUCCAUGGCCUUGCCCUGAUAUCACCUCCGGGGCCAAGUACUCGUGGGUCCCGACGAAGGACUUGGAUCUAGCAUCAAUGGGUUCCGCCACCAAUUCCGGGUUGUACUCUUGAAUAUUAUAUAUGAAGUUGGUCGCCUGCGGCUGUGGUUGCUGCUGCAAUGGUGUAGCCGUAACGGUAAUAGUAGUGCAUUUCUUGUUGGAAGUUGAGAAACAUGAAAGCACGGGCUGUAUGGGCAAAGCACAAGUUGGAGUGGAGCAUUUGGUAGUAUUUUUAUGACUAUGAGUAGGUUGAUGAUCAGCUGGACAAACUUUCGCAGACCUUAUAACCUUAGGGACAACGUCAGAUUUAAGAGAGAGAUCGAAAUCUGAAAGCAUGAUGUGCCCAUCUUCUCUUACCAGCACAUUUUCUGGCUUAAGAUCUCUGUAUAUUAUCCCCAUCAUAUGAAGAUACUCUAGCGCUAACAGCGUUUCAGCUGCAUAAAACCUGAAAUUAAUUCCGUGUAGAAUAAAUUCAUUAGAGAACGUAGCAAAAGAUGAAAAAUAGCUGAAAGUUUACGUAACUAAUUCAUCAAUAUGAAUUAAAUUAACCGUCUGAGGACUGAUCAGCAGUUCUUUUUUUAAGAGACAUAAACCACUAAAACGGGAUAUAUACGUUAAGUCAUUAGUGGCAGAAUACCUUAGGCAGUUAAUCUACCUAUAUAUUGCAUGUAUCUACAAACAAAAAAUCACUUGAGCACCUUAGAAGUGAAAGAAUUACACAAAUUAGAAGUAAGGUUAGAUGACUAAAGUUAAAGAAUAUAUACUGACUUGGCAGAUGAAAUGCUGAAGCGUUUUCCGGGUUGGCGUUGCCGGGAUGCAUGCAAGUCUCCACCGGGACAAAACUCCAUAACCAGGCAAGAAUAAUGGGAAGCAUCAAAAUCAGCGUAUAACGUGGGCAGAAAAGGAUGAUCUAGCAUGCCCAAAAUCUCCUUCUCCAUCUCGGCUCUUUGCAACUUCUUCCUUAUGGCAAGAGCUUCUCUAUCCACAACUUUCAUAGCAUAAAAGCACUGCUGUAACCCCACAAUCGGGUUCCUAAUCUGGCAAAGAUAAACAUUUCCGAUGUCUCCGCUUCCUAGCCGGCGAAGAAGCCGAAAAUGGUCGAGCCCCACAUGGCCUUUCUCACAUCGUAGCCGCUUCAUGGCUUCCCAGGCAGCUUGGUUGGCCUUGUGUGGCUUGCGGCAGUUGGAAAAAUGCGAGUCACUAGAGGAACAAACUGAGAUAGAGCUCCGGCGGCUGCCGAAGCUGAGGUUGCUCAUCCAGCUCCGGCUUGAGUCCGGCACGGUUAUCGACGAACAGCUGCUGUCAUAGUCGGAUUCAUCUCGGGGUGUGAUAGCCAUGAUGGUCGGAGGAGCAUGUGUGUGAGGGUGUUCUCUUGCUUUCGCAGGCUUUAUAUGCAAAAUGUAUAUAUAGUAUAUACAGGCUUAUUAUGGACUAGUAUACCAUAUGGUGGUAUGUAACGUACUCCAUUAAAUAUUUAAUGUGGCACCAAGAAAGUUACAAAGUGUUACUUUUGGUAGUGGAAGAAUGCCAAUGCUAUGUUUUGUACGGCUUUUCCUAGUGAUGGUAACAGAGUUGGCAAAUUGUUAAAAUGCAACUUUAAUCACAUGAUGCCUCAUCGUUGUAUUAAUUAUAGGUACUUAGGGUACUAGUAAUGUUAUUGCUAAAGGUGAUUAGGUAUUAAUUAGGCAUUAGUUGGGUCUGACUAAGAAAUUCAAUAGACAAUGCUGCCUUGUGGUGAAUGUAAUUAACUGGAACAUGAAGUAAUCGAGGCAUUGCUGGAAUAGAUGAUCGACAUUCGCCUCAAGUCCUAUCAUCUAUAAAUCCUCUAGGGUCUACACUUGUGAUUUUGCAGGGUGAGCACAACAAUGCAUGAUCUAAGCACUUUACUACUUACAAAAGGCCCCUUUAAAUUUUAAUGCGCAUCUCUGCCAUUGCAAGCUUAAGAGUGUAGGAAAUCACACGGAGCUCUUCUGUCAAUACAUAAUCCAUUACCAAAGUACGUUCAUACUCCAAUGAUUGCUUAGAAACCUUCGUGAAUUACUAUGUUGUAGGUGUGCCUAGCAUGUACAAGCUUGUUAUGAGGAGGAUCUCAAAAUAACCCAAAUGAAUUAUUAUAUACGUUCUUUGGAUGGUGGUUGGCAAUUGGCAUUAAUUACUACACAUCGAUCAAAAAUAUUGAUCAAUGUAUGAGAUAGCUGAAUUAACAUUAAUUAUCAACAAGUACAUAAAAAAGUUUUUAAAAAAAUCAGCCAGCUGUUUGGUUUAAUUAUUGGUGUUACAUAUCGGUCAAAGGGAGUCUUAGGCGAAAUUAAACAAAUGUUGAAGUAGAGUUUGCCUCAAUAAUACGAGCAAUUGCGGUUAAAACAAAAACAAAAACAAAAAAAAAAAGGUCGUCGACGUUGUGUGAUUCUUUAAUCGUUUAUAGCUGCAUGCCUAGAAGAACGACAACAAUUUAACAAGUUUCCUUGUCCCACUCCUUUUCUUCUUCUUCCAGCUCAUUAACAAGGCAGCUUCAAUGCCUAAUUAAACACCUCCCGACCGACUUGUUUUUUAGUACUAUAAACUUUUUUCGACUUGUGUACUGUGAAGCCCUUAAUUAGAUGAGGUAUUAAUUACUACUUCUUCUUUCUUUCUUCUUUUUUAUGGGUUUUUUUUAUUUUGGUUGGGGGGAUGGUCACUAAAGUACAACAUGAUUGUAGGCAGCAGGUAAUUUUGUGCAUAUAUAUAUUUUUGUUAAAUUAUCUUUUAAAAAAUUCAUUGAAUCGAAAUUGAAUCGAUUCGAUCGGGCUCUCGAUCCUUUCACUUUAUCGAUUCAAUUAACGACAUUGAUAAUUAGCAAAGCCCGCAAAUAUGAUGAUAGUAGGGAGCAGUUCAUUUGCUUUCCUUUUGUGUGAAACUGGCAGUGGUGCUAAUUUUCAUGAUGACGGGCCGUCAGCAUAAACGCAAAAGGCGUAGGCUUUUCAACAGUUGACGGUCAAAAAAGCCCGCAUGGGUGUGAUUGUGGCAAAGACAUGGUGAGGAUGGCCCUGCGUUCAAAGGUAGAUUUGCAUGAAAGUUGGGGAGCUUUUGGUAAAUAAAUAUUCAAAAGCAGCAGCAAUAAUUAUUGCAUUUCAAGGAGGAGGAAAUGUGGCCACAAAAGCUGAGACGUACAUGAAGCCCCCGUGCCCUGCUCCCUCAUUGAUUUCCACCACCCCAAUGAUUUAUACGUAUUAGUAUACCGUAUUUUUUUUCUUUUGGCAUUCCAGUAACUGGAUUCUUGAUGAUGGCAUAAUUGAAUCUCUGAUUGUUGUCGUUCGGGGGGCGGGGGAAUCCGAUUUCGCUUGUCUUUAUUGUUUAAACUUAUCAGGCAUGUGAAUCCCUGUAGGUCACCGCGGACCAUCCAUGAACUACCCAAGGCCUGUCUGUCUGUCCUCCCACAUUUGCAAUUUAUAUCACCUCUAAAAUCCGUUCCACCGCAUAAAAUGCUUUUAAAGUCCGUUCUGACCAAGCUUUAGUUCCUUUCUUUUGCCUUUUUCUUUUUUUUUUUUUUAAAAAAAAAUUUAUUUAUUUCAGAAGAGUAAAAGUAUACAAGUCUUAAGAAAAUCAUUAUUGUUUCUUUCUUUUAUCCAGCUGCAUGAGAGAGAUUUUUAUUCAGCACUACUCCACUUAGCAAGUGAGAAAUGAGCAGUUGAGGACUAAUUUUAGAGAGUACCGGGAAUGAGGAAAAUGUGAUAUGACCAGGGACAAAAGUCCAAAGUGGUGUGUUUCUUUCGAAGUGGCAAGGAACAGGUUUCCUUGCAUCCCUGCUUUCAUUUCUGCCUUUUGAUCUGCAGAUCUUAUCAGUUUCACUUUUGGUUCCAUUGCAGGCAAACAAGCGAUUGUACAGUUGCAGAGUAGCAGGGUCCAUUGAAAGACCCAGUCCCAUACAUUCUUCUCCCCUUACCUGUGUAUCAUAAUCCUGAAAUCAGUAAACGAAAAGCAUGUGCAUUUCGUUGAAGGCGAAGAAAAGAAAAAAACAAAAUGGAGGACAUGGAUGCUCAUACUGAGGAACAGCGUAUCUGUCUUUGCAUUUACACAAAAAGCCAUUUUGUUGUCUGGGACAUAUCUUCAUGGGCAGCUUCGAACGAAUUCGUGGGCUCCAACUCAACAAUUUGUUCCCACCCGUGCCCACGUCACUUAUCAACAAUAAAUGACCCUAAAAUUCGAUUAAUGUCUAUUAGUGUAAAGAUUUUUUUUUUUUUUUUUUUUUUGCAUGCUAGUCAGUGCAGACGUAAUUGAGUUACAUUUCAAAGGAACAUAUUGAAAAUUUAAGUUGAAGUUCGGAGGAGGCUUUGGCUUUUAAGAGCUGCUAUGCUGAGGGCAAAACAGCAGGGUUGGAGGAGGGUGGUGUUUGAAUCAGAUUGCAAGCAGCUAAUAGAUAGCAUAAAUAGGGGGGAUGGGGAUUCUGAUAUAGCAACUGUUUUGUUAGAUAUUGUUAGUUUAAAGUCUAACCUUUACAAAUGUUGUUUUUCCUUCACAAGGAGGAUGAACAACUCUGUUAGUCACUCCUUGGCAAAACUAGCCUUGAGUUUGGAUGGUCCUGCUGAAUGGAAGGUGAUCUUCCCAGCUUGGCUGCUUGAAUUACUUCAAGCAGAUUGUAGGGGCAGUUGCUCCAUUAGUGUGUAAACUGUUUUGGUAUAUACAAAAGUGUUGCCGUUUGGGGGGAAAAAAAAAAAAAAGAAGAGGAGCAACUUUCGGGUAAAAGGGAGGAGAAUUAAAAAUGUUUCAUUUCAGUUUGGGCUCCAACUGGCAACGAGGACACAUAGACCCACUUGAUCACACGUUUCAGAAAUCCAACUUUAUUGGAUCCCAUUCAGGAUGGGGACGGAAUUCGGCUUAGGAGUGUCAGACUUAAUUUGGGUUUAACCCGAACUCACCCUGAACACAUAAUUAUUUAUUACAUGUAAAUUUCAAUAAUGCACGUUACAAUGAAUAUAAUUAUUAAAUAAUAUAAAUCAUUAUAAAUAAAAAUUAUAUUACCCCCUCCCUUCUUCUUAAAUCAUAAUCUUCCCCUGACAAAAAAAAAAAAAAAAAAGUUAAGGAACCUUUAUUCUCGUGACUAAGAUUGAAACUUCAAAAAAUAUUGAAACCUAGUUUCAUAUCUCCUUUCUCCCUAUUCAUUUUUUAAAUUCCAUCCUUCCCUUAAUUAUUUAAAAAAAAAAAAAACUUAGUUGACUAGAUCAUCGGGCUCUGAUUGAGCUGUCUCCUAAGCUCAAAUUCAACUCACAAUUUAAUCAGGCAUAAAAUGGGCCUAAACUCAAUCCAGUCCAAUGGUAUACAAGGCUUGCCCUAAUUUUCUAAGGGCCACCCAGGCUACACUCGGACUGACCUAACCCAAUUAAUAGUCCUAAUUCUAGUUGAUCCAAUGUCCACCUCUUGGCCACUAAAGCAUAUAGGGCCGGCCGUCAUUCGUUAAGCAACAGAUGCUCUCGUUGAUCUCAUUUUUUGUUUAAUUAGAAGUUAAGAAAGCCUGAUUUUGAGUAACAACAUUUGAAGUCCAAAAAAAUCUUUUCAAUUUUUAUUACCAUUCAUCUCAUUUAUUCCAACUAUAGGUGGCAAACCAACUCACUUAACUAAAUUUACUCAUACGUCCAUGAAUAGAUGAAUAUAGGUAUUUUAAAAUUUUAUAUAUGGGUUACCCAAUAAUAUCCAUUUAUUAAAUGGGUAUUAUUGGGUAAUCCAUCAAACUCAAUUAACCUAUUUAGAAUUCUCUUCUCCCAAGUCUCUUCUCUUCCCCCAUCCUUUUUUUUUUUCAGAUUUUUCAUUUUGUCAUGAUGUUAACUACUUUUGUUUCAUUAUUAUUACUAUUUGUUGGUUUUAUCUUAUUAUUUAUUUUCUCUUAGUUUGUUAACAUGCUCAUUUUUCAACAUUACCAUUUAAAUUUAUAUAUGAAAAAAAUGUUAGGGGUUCAAGAUUUUUGGAUUAAGUUUUUAUACUAACUUUUAUAGUACUUAGAUCAAAUUUUUAUAUUUUUAUAAUUCAAUUAUUAAAUAAUAUGUAAUUUUGUGACAUAGAGUAUAAAUGAAAAAAAUUUGGUAAUUAGGCUUAUUGAGCAUUAUAAAUAAAUAUUUUAAACUAAAUAUGGGUACAAAGAGUGGUAUAAAUUGAUAACUUAGUUUGCAAAAAUGAAUUUAAAUGAAUUUACAAAAAAAUUAAAAUAAAUGUGUUAUAAAUAGGUAAUUGGUUACCCAAUUCAUUUUUUCACUUACCCAUUAAUACCCAUCUAAUUAAAUGGGUUAAUUCACUUAUAUCCAUUAUCCAUUUUACCCAAACCAAGUCCGUCCAAGUCACAUAUUUUGACACCUCUAAUUCCAACUGUCAUGUACAAGAUUUAGUAACUUUCCAUUGGUCGCUAGGUCAAUUCGAAUGGUUAAAUAAACACAUAUUUAGAAAUACUCAAAUAUAAUUUUUACAAUCACUCGUAAUGAUCAACUUUACGAAUACGAAAUAAUAAGGCUCAUAAAAAUAAUUACUGUUUCAGUCUAUGACCAAUAUAAAAAAAAAGUAUAAAUUGUUUUCACUUAAUUAUGAAGAUGGAAAUAUUUACCGUAUUUAGCGAAUUCAUGUAGUGAAUUUUACUUGUUCUCGUCUUCAAGGAUUCGAUUGAAUUAUGAAUGACACUUUUUUUUUGGGUGAUAAAUAACUAUUACAAAAGAUUUACAGUAUAUCGGGCAAAAUGCCCGCACUGUUCCUGCGCUAGACAGAGGGGAAAAUGAACCUUGCACUCCGCUUUGGCAAGUUUACACCAUAAUCUGCUAUAUUUCUACUCUAUAUCAUUUUUCCUUUGUAUAUGCGAACGCAUCACAAAUCAAACGAGGAGCUAAGGACUACAAUGUCUUCUAGGAUUGUGGCCAUUUUCGAAGAAUUGCAGCUGUAGGAAUUUAUCUUUGUCAACGAGGUGGUUACUCUCUGCUUGUACCUGUGCUCUUGUCCAGCCUUCUUCCGUUGCUUUGAUAAGAGAUAACUUGAUUGCUUCAGCAUCAUCUGUCUCUUGACUUUCCAUGCUUCUUGUCCACCAAGGCCCAUGCUGCAACCUGCUUUCCUUUCCAGUUUCUCGCUACACUUCCAAUUCUUUUUUGACUCCUUUCAAUGCAGGCUGCUGUAUUGAGUUUGAGACAAUGCUGCUCAGAAGGUGAAUGUGAGCAAGAAGUAUAAGAAAUGUCAAUGAAAAAACAUGGAGAAGCUGUUUUUCUCCGUAUUGCACGCUGCCACAAAAUAAGAGUUUGGAUAAGCUUUUCUCUAUGCAAAAGUUUUUUAGAGAUGAACGUGAACAAUAAAGACUUGACAGGAAAAUGAAAAACGUCUAUGAAGAAAUAAGCCAUUACCGAGAUGGGAUGUUAGUUAUUACCUAGAUGGGAUGUUAUCGAGCUUCAACACAGAUAAAGUCACAUCAUUUGAAGUAGGCGGUCAGCGCAUCGCUUGGGGAGUAUCAACAUUUAGGAUACAUAAAGUCGAAAACGCAGGCUGUUUUGGUAUUGGCAGAUUUGUUCUUUCUUUGUUCAGCAUUGAAAUAACAUCGGACAUGGUGGGCCUGUCCUUUGGGUUUUCCUGAAGGCAAAGAAGAGCCACCUGAAUGCAUAAGACAAGCUCAUCCUCCAAACACGAGUCGACCAAUGUUUGAUCCAUUAAGUCCAGGCAAUGACCCUCUUGCCACGUCUCCCAAGCCUUUACAAACACGUUACAGUUUAUGAGAUUCUUAGCAAACAAUUAGCAAAUACUUGUUUAUUUUGAACAGAGAAGAGAAACAGAAGAUAUAGGCCGUGAUUGAGUUGCUUACAUAUCCUAGCAGGUUAAGUGAUCGAUCUGAUCGGUAAAAAGUUGUGUUCUUCUUCCCACUUAUAAUCUCCAGCAUAAUUACUCCAAAGCUGAAAAUGUCAGAUUUUGUGGAGAAAAGGCCGUGCACUGCAUACUCUGGCAACAUAUAACCGCUGUUUCCAGCGUGAUCAAGCAAUUUUAUCAGUUAAAUAGGGAAGUGUACAAACAGAAUGAGCCGAGUUAAUUGUGGACAGUUUAGAGGCACCACAAAGAUUUUGGAAGUAUGUUUGUAGUGGCAAAUAAAGAAAGAUAAGCAUGUUGGAUAUAAGUUGUCAACAAUCAUCUAGAUUCAUAGAAAUUAAGAAUGAGGUCUGAUCACUCACUAUGUGCCAACAACCCUCUUCGUUUUAGUUUGACUAGUCUCGUCAAAAAUUCUUGCCAUGCCAAAAUCUGAUAUUUUGGGGUUAAAAUGGCUGUCCAACAAAUGUUGCUUGUCUUUAGAUCUCUAUGGAUGACUUUAAAUCUAGAAUACUUGUGAAGAUAAAGGAGACCUUGAGCGAUUCCUUCAAUGAUGUGCAAACGUCUUCCCCAGUCUAGCUGCAAACGCUUGUUAGUAUCUGCACAAGCAUAUGCAAUUAUAAUUACAGUUACAUCAAGAAAGUAUGCUUAUGUACGUCAAAGUCCAGGGGAAAUACGAGAAGUCAGAAGGCGAACCAAAUAAGAAGGAAUACAAGCUGUCAUUGGUCAUAAAUUCGCAUAUUAAUAUCUUCUCUUCUUGUUCAGUGCAAUAUCCCAGAAGCCUAACAAGAUUACUAUGUUGGAGCUUUGAUAUCAGUUGAAGCUCGUUCUUGAAUUCCUCUAGUCCUUGUCCAGACAUUCUAGAAUGUCUUUUUACUGCAAUUUCAUGUCCGAGUAUCUUGCCUUGCAAUUUUAAAUUUAUGAUAGUGCUUACUCUAUUAGCACUAGAGAUUUUGAGGCCAUAUAGCAACUAAAUUGUAACACAAAAUCGAUUAAGUUGUCUUGGAUCAUUCUCCUAUCAUGAAAGAACGUGUACCGUGUAUACAGGACCAAAACCACCCUCCCCAAUCUUACUGGCGAAAGAAAAAUUAUCAUUCAGAGAAACUAUGCUUGAAAAGCUUAGAUGCGGCGGUUCAGGAUCUUUCCUCUUGCCAAGUUCAAGACUAUUUCCAUCACUUCCGUAAGUUGCAGUGAAUGCAUUGCUUACAAACUGAUACAAUAAAUAAUGAUACACUUUCUCUUAUGGCAUCUUCUCUCCCUUUGAUAACUCCUGCAUUUAAGUAUAACCAUGUAGCUGAGUGUCAUGUGAAAUUAUUGAAAGACGGGAAAUUAAAUGGAGACCAUAAAUUUUGAUAUAUAGAUAUUCGUACCUUCAUGUUUAAACUUUCUCCAUCUCAGGUAUAACCAAACUGAGGCAACAAUUGCUAUUAAUACUGAAGAUACUGGAAGUAUGACAGAGAGCAUCAACCACCUUCUUCUUUUGGCUUCUAGGGGAUUGGGAUAAAAAGAUAUCAAUCACCACCAGAUUACUCGAAUCUAAAACUCAAAACUUUAUUAUUUUAACUGCACUGUUUUCUAAUAAUCUGGUUUUCCACUAUUAAUUGUUGUUAAAUGUAUUAUAAGCGCUUACCGGAGCUUCCAGAGAACUCCCCUCUAACAUGAAUGAUGCCAUUGCCUUUACCAAUUCCAUGGAGAAGAUCCCACUUACUUCCAUAAUAAAGCUCGCAUCCUGCUGCAUCGUCACAAAAAGAAGAAUAUGCAGUGCAAGAACAAUUAUUUACUGCAUAUAAUUUCACAAUCACUAGGUCCCAUACGAACUGAUUCAUACACUACCACUCUUUCCUCGUUCCUCUCCUCUCCUUUCCUCCUUCCCUCCUCUCUUCCCCUUCCCCUCCCCUUUCCACCCAGACCCAUUGAGACCAUGCAUUAGGGGAGGGGUGAGGUAUGGCGGGAAAGGGGAGGGGAGAGGAGGAGAGGAGGGUAAGGCUUAGUUUGGGAGUUUACGAAGGAAGAGAAAAGAAAAGAAAAGAUAACUUAGGAAACAAAGGAAAAGAAGGGAAAAGAUGGAUAUUUCGUUUGAUAGUUCAAUGAAAGUAAAGAAAAGAAAAGAAACAUCUUUCUCUUAUUUGAGAGUUGGAGAAAUAUGGAAAGAAAGAAUUUUAUGAGAACAAAACUUUACUACGUAUUUUCCCUUUCAAUUUUUAAAUCAAAGUCCAAAGAUUAGCUUUCUUGUUCCAAUAAAUAGAAUAUUUGGGCAAGAUAAAUUUGUAAAAUAAUUGCAUAUGCAUUCCCACAAGAUGAAUAAUAAUAAUUUGAGUUCCUAAAUGGUGUAAGACAUAUUUUUUAUACAUUUCAUGAUUAUUAGCCCAAUCUAUAAAAAGCUCAUUGUUUGUAAUCAAAUUCAGGGGCUUAUCCCAUGGAUGAUAAAAUUCCUAGAGGCAUCGGUUUUUGUGAAGCUGUUCGGAUUGUUGAUUUACAACAUGGAAACUCAAAACCAUGAGAUCAUUUUAUAAUUUGAAGCUUACAUAGGCAAAUAAACAAACUUAUGCUUUCAAAUUUCAUAUUCAUGUAUCACCACUGGAGCUUACAUGUACCAUAACCAUGCCAGAUAUAAUCACAAAUCAAUAAUAUAAAAAUCAAGAGUUUAUUGACAAUAAUUUUAUGAUAGAAAAUGAACAAAAAAUUUAGAAUAUAAACAAUAACAAUCUACACAAAAAAAAUGCUUUUUCCACAAUUCUUUAAAGAAGAUUGAGCAAAGAACGAAAGAAGAGAUUGAGUCAAAGAAAUACCCUUUGUUAUUAAAUUGUGGAUGAAGAAUAAAAGAAAACCAAGUACACUCGACAGUUGGAAGAAUAUAAAGUAUAGAACUGAGAAAGCUUUGCAUCGUUGCUUUUACAAAUCAACUUUAUGAUAUAUCGGGAAUAAUAAAUUUUUGUACUAUAUUUUAAAGGACAAAAUUGUCAUAUUAAAAAUAUCUUUUGGCACCCAACAAGUUUUCAUCUUUUUCUUUCCAAUUUUGGGCGGAAAAAUUUUCACCAAUUAAAGGAAGUCCCAUCCGUUCAUUUCGUUUUUCUUCCGUACUUGUUAAAACUCCCAAGUGAAUGAAAUGGUAAAACUUUAUCUUAGAAUACUUUAUUUUCUGUCUUUUUCUCUCCAUCUAAAUGAAGCCUAAGGGAAGGGAAGGAGAGCAGAGAAGGAGGAGAAGGAAAAAAGAGAGGGAGGAAGAGGGAGGGGGUGGUGGUGGUGGUGAUAAGUGAUGGUGUUAAUUUUUAAAUUUUAAAAAUAUUCCACAAUAUAUCUAACAAAAAUUUUCAAAAACAUUUAUAGUAAAAUUUUUCAUAUAUAUUGCUCUAAUAAAAUAUUUUUAAAAUAUCCCAAAAAAUAACUAAUCCAAAUGUAACAUAAUUAUACAAAUUUAUAUUCAAAUUAACUAUUGGAGCUUAUAGAGCAACUAAUUUUGAUCUCGUUGAGUAAAUGCACAUAUCAUAAUUUAUUUGGACCAUGCAGUUGUUAAAGAAUAUAUUUUUUUCAUUCCACUGAUAGCGGCAUACCUUUCAUUCUGUAAUGUUUCAAAAUGUUUGUUAUCUUAUUAAAACUAAAGUUACUUUUAUUAUUUUUUCUAAUUUUGUCUCUACUUAUAGUUGUAUAUCAUGUGACAUUUAAAUUCAAAAUUUAAAUUUUGAGGGCAAGUUUGGAAACAAAAGCAUCUAUAUCACAAUUAAUCCACUAUUUUUAAAAAGUUAAUCCCGAAAAGCAAUGAAAAAUGCGGGACGAGAGUAGUACUUAAAUAUUAUCAACACAGACAGACACAGACCUUUAGUUGUAUAUCAUGUUAUAUUCAAAUUUAUAUUUUAAAUUUGAGGGCAAAUUUGGAAAAGUUUGGAAAUAAAAGCAUUUACAUCAUAAUCAAUCCAUUAUUCUGACAAAGUUAGAAUCCCGAAAAGCGAUGGAAAAUAUGGAUGGGAGAGAGUACUUAAUUAUUACUUAUAUAUAUGAUUAAUUUUAUGUACAUUAAUAAUGUAUAUAUUGUCAUUGUUUUUUUUUUUUGUAACUCGGAAUGUGCCUCGAUUCGAACCCUUAAGAUCCGAACUGGCAUACCACGACCCCACGCAGCGACCCAGGCAAGUCAUAAGGGUUUAAGUCCAUAAUAAAAUUCGAACCCAGGACCUCAAAAGUUCUUAAGAGUUCGCUUACCGCUGGACCACCCCUGUGAGAGCUAUAUAUUGUCAUUGUUGAAUGCAUAAAAACUAAUACAAAUGUGUUCGUAUAGUAGAUUAUUUGGGAUGAUUUUUGAAAAAUACUAUAUCACUUUUUUUGAUAUGAUGUAAAUGAAAUAAAAAGGUGAUUGAAAAAUAUGUUGAUAAUAGAAGCAAAUAUUAAUAGGAUUGUUUGGAUAGAGUAUUAUUUAAAAUAUUAUUUAGAAUAAUUACUGUAGCACUUUUUGUGAUGUAAUGUAUAUGAAAUAAAAAGGUGGAAUUGAAAAUAUAAAAAAAUGAAUUGAAAAAUAUGUUUAUGAUGCAAGCGAAUUAUUAUUUGAAAUAAUUGGCUAUCCAAACAAACCCUUAAACAAUCUAAUAUGCAAGCAAAUAGUAAAGAAGAUUCAAUUUGUUUAUACACACACGUAUGAAUACUAAUCUUUUACACCAGCCACCCCCAACGUUCCAUGAAACGGCGCCGCCUCAAUAAUUCAAAACUUAAACGCCCUUUCCUAUGCCUCUGACCCGCUCAUAUUGUUUUAACUUCCCCCACAAAAAAAAAAAAAGAGAACGAACAGUCCUUAACCACGUCAGCACUAACCUUCGAGCUCCUCUUAUAAAUACGGAUCUAUCCCUGCUCCCACAAUCUCUAAAAUCGCAAUUUUGACUGUCUGGAGGCCACAGCUGCUCGACUAAACGUUGAAACCUCAGCUGCUAACCUAAACGUUAGCAGGUGCUGAGGGACAUGUGUCUCUCUCCCUCUCGCUCAAAAAGCUAGGGUUCAUCGAUUCGGCAACGACUUGGAACCAAACAAUCUAAACCCGAGGAUUAUUUGUAGUAUCUUAGAUUUCCAGAUACUGUAAUUAAUAGCGAAAAGACUGAGAGGAGCUGGCUGUUUCAAAAUCGAAAGACAUCUUGUGAACUUGCGGUAAACUCAUAGACCUGAUUUUUGGGUUUGAUAGUUGUAGAGAUCUGAUUGUUUAGCUUAUCUCAAGACUUGUUUUCAUGUCUGAUUGCUCUAUUUCUCUUUGAGACGACUUGUCGGUGACUUCUUCGAUUUGCGAGCAUGAUUUAUCUGAUUUUGGGGAAAUUUACAUCUCCUCUCUAGGUAGCUGUCAUGCUUUGGAACUAAGAAUCUCCAUGCUAAAAUAUAUACAUAUGCGUACACACACACAUAUUCAAGUUCAAACAAAAACGAUUUCUGCUGUUUAGGUUUCAAAGGAAAUGAAUAGUAAAUAUGCAUUAUGAUCAGAAUUUGGAAUCUUUAUCUAUGAAGGAUAAUUGAGUUUCUUAUUCAGUAUCUUCUUCUUAUUCUUCCUCUUUUGUUUCCCCCAAGAGGGUGUGGAGGGAAUUGCGCUAUUUUUUAUUGAUAAAAUUAUCGCUAAAUUUAACAUGGAUGAGUGCCUCCUGCUGUUUUAGUAAUUUCUAGUCGAAAGUUGGGAUUUUAGGUGGCAUACGAUGUUUCUGGAGUGUCACGAGUCAUGAUAAAGUUGGGUUAAGCAAGUUUAUGCCAUAUGAUGAGUUAAUGUUCGGCAGAUUUGGUUGAUAUUGAGGAUUGGUGUGGUGUUUCAGAGCUGCCUAGUGUUCUGAGAUGUGCUCUUGGUCCACAAAUGCUAGCCGUGAUUCUGAUAGAUAUUUUUCUUUGUCUUGUGUUCUUUUGGGAGUGUUGUUACCUGAUUGGCAUUAAGCUCAGCAGUGGUCAUGCUUGUGGAAUAUUAUUUUGUGGUACAAUCGUUUCGCAUAUUCUUCGUUGGCUAGGUGUGCUGGGAGAUGAUUUGCUAAUAUUGUGUUCUACUUGUUUUGGAGGAAGAGGUUGUUUGUUCGUAUAGCUAGUUAAGCAGCCAAUCGAAACUUAAUAGCUGCUUGAAGAGCACAGCUGAAAGGGAAAUGUUCAAUGCUUUUGCUACUGUAACUUCAAUAGCAGUAAGCACAAUGUUGCUCUAUUUCAGAAGCAGUUUCCAGCUUUUGAUGUUGGUAGAGAAGUUCUUUAUGAAAUAUGAGAUCCAGCGAAAAGGGGAAUGGGAAGAUUACCUAUUAGCGAAUACAGGAAGUCAUGUUUUGCUCAUUAUUGCUACAUCGGUGGCAGGAUUGCUAUUGUUGCACUUGAGAGUCUCAGACAGAUUGUGAAUUGUGGGUGAGGGUUUUAAACUAGACAAGGCAUUGCAGUUUCAUACAAAAUGCUAUCUUUGGUUAAUUCUUGUGCAAUGGAUUGGUUCACAUGCAUUUGCUUGUGACUCCAUUUUUCACAAUGCUGAGUACUCAAUUGCAACUGUUAAUACUUGGGGAAAGUCAUGUUACACUGGGAAAAAGGCAGGAGGAAUAGAGUGCCUGUAGAAUCUGAACAUUAAUGAAUCUUGCACCUAAUUUCACAGUUGCCCACGGCUUUGGCUGGCUGAGUUCAUUUUAUUGUAGUAGGCACUUGGCAAUUCAAUUCAUAACAAGGCAAGUUAUCUAGGAAAACAUUGUAUUUGCUUGUUAAUUACCAUUACUGGAUUGGGUGUCUUUCUUGAUAUGUUUUCAAUCUCUAGGAGAUGCUUGAUGUGUUCAUGUGAUUGCUGCUAUGAAAUUGUCUUGAUAUGCAUUACUUAUAGCUUCCAAGUAGAUGAAUAGCAUCGAUUUGGAUUGGAAUAGGUUUGGUAAGAAUUUGCUUUUUAGGUCACAUGAAGUCUUCUGAAUUCAUGUACAUCUGCAAAUAUUGGGUGGAUAGAUAUGGUUGUAUCUUGUGAAAGUUUUCAUCAUAAUUGCAACCAGUUUGUUUUGUUAUUUUGGUUUGUUGUGGAGUCACUUACUGUUGCUGCUGCUGUUUGUUUUGUUUUACUCUAGAUUCAGAUUUCGUGUCACUGUUGUACAAGUGCUUUUACACUUACACCAUCAACAUUAGGAGAGAUACUCAACAAUACACGAGCUAAUUUGGUAUAGCGACAUAGAAAUGCCUAAGGAGAGAAGAGAUCGUUCUGUGUCUUUUGAUAGAUCAAGGGCAUCUCCUUUCCCAUGCAGUUCUAGUCGCUCACGGCACUUAUUGCCCAAAAACCCAUUGGAAAGUGAUGAAAAUGCAAAAGAAUGGGAAGAAGCCCGUUGUCCAGUCUGUAUGGAACAUCCUCAUAAUGCUAUUCUCCUUUUAUGUGCAUCUCAUGAGAAAGGAUGCCGUCCCUUUAUGUGUGAUACAAGUUACCGCCAUUCAAAUUGUUUUGAUCAGUUUCGCAAGUCAUUUGGAGAAGCUUCAUCAACUACACUGCAGCGAGAAGAAGCACCUAUAUUGGCUUCUCACUUGGCGUCCACCUCAAUGAUCUCGGAACCACCAGUUACGGCUUUAAAUGUUGAAAGAAGGGAGGGAGGGCCUGCAUCACUGGAAGCAGUGUCUUGCGAAGAUGAAAUAAAGUCAAAGUUGGUGUGCCCUUUGUGCCGUCAGCAGAUCCAUGGGUGGAUGGUUGUGGAGUCCGCUCGUCAUUUUAUGAAUGCGAAAUCAAGAAGCUGUGCUUGUGAAACCUGUGAUUUCAAUGGCGCGUACAGAGAUUUGCGGAAGCAUGCAAGACAGGAACAUCCUCUUGCGCGGCCAACAGAGGCUGAUCCAGAGAGGCAACGCAAUUGGAGGAGGUUGGAGCAGCAGAGAGAUUUAGGAGAUUUGCUCAGUACCCUGCAAUCAUCCAUUGGAGAAGAACGGAGUGAAGAAAGUUCUUUACCUUUCGAUGAAGGGGGUUGGCUUACUGUCUUUUUCCUUAUCCGAAUCCUGCGACCUGGGAGUGCCUCAAGGAGCAGUAGCUGGUCUGGUUCUUCAAGGACCAGGGCUCAUGUCACAAUCAGAAGAAGACCAUCAAGAAGGCUUUGGGGGGAGAGCUAUGAUUGGGAAACAGAUUCCAGGGAUGAUGAUAAUGAAACUUCAGAUGGUGGAUCAGGACUCUGGGCACAUCGUGAUAGAGUACAACGAAGACCCACUUCAGACGAUUAGUCUUUGAGUGGAAAGUGUUGCACUAGAUUCCAUUCUUUCCCUUCGCAUUACUGUAAUAGGUACUGCGGUCAGCAGAAAAUGCACCUUGUACUUAAACACGGUUCUGCUUCUUUAUGUUAUCAACUUAUCUGUAAACACCCUGUUGUUUUGGUUAACUAUUUGCUUAUCUUUCAGGUGCAAAGGGGAAGCACUGGAAAUAACUGUCAGGUGCCCAAGAUUGCUGUUUGGCAUCUCGUGUUUUGUGAGAGAGGAAGUAAAAAAAAAAAAAAUUUGUAAUUCCUACUUUUGAAUUAUGAUUUAUACCAUUCACUUGCUUUUUGAAUCUUCUGUAGAUUUUUGGUCUACAGAUAUUUUCGUGUUAUCUGUAAUUGUUAAAUUAAAGUAAUUGAACACAUCAUCAUCUCUAUACGGUAGCAUGAGUUGAUUAGUUAUGUUGGGAGUUUGCAGCUGUAGUAGCGGUAAUUGUCGCUCCCUCUAGAAAGUAGGAAAGUUGGAACGCUACUAUUAGAUAUUCCUUCUUUAGUCAGUUAAUCAGUCCUGAUUAGUUCCAUGCAUCUGGCGUGCAAAGUGUCAGGGAACUUGGUAAUGUUGUUGGUGAGAGCUCGUAGGCGAGCCAGACUUGGCUAAAGCCUAAAGGUUGGCAACAUGUGAGGUGGAUGAUGUGGUUGGCGCUGAGAUCUUGAUGGAUUUUACGACACUAGUAUUAUGUAUAAUAAGCGUUUGAAUUAAGUGGGCUGUAUGGGAAGCUUUUACCCUUUUAUCUUCUCGUAGACUUGGUACUGAAAAUUGAGAACGUCUGGUAUUUGGGGACCUCCUGUUGUUGUUUGGAUGAUGCCAAAGUUGACGGUUUGUCAAGAAUUGAGCAGAUAUAUGAAGUCACUACAAGACGCUCUAAACAGGUAUAAAAAGGAAAUUAACAGCCGCACGCUAUUCUAGUACGUCUCAUGUGAAAGGUGAUCCAUCAUCCAGUGUAGCAAAUUUAACAAUUUUCUUUUUGCCAAAGUCUGGUGCUUGUUACGUAUUAUGACAGUGAAAGCUGUAGCACAAAUUUUGUUGUCUAAGAUAAAAUAUAAGAAAACAUGUACAAAUAUUAAAUACAUUAAAUUUAAAAUAAAAGGACUGCAAUUUUUGAAAAUUCUUAAAUUAAAUAAAUUAAUUUGCUGAUUCUUUUCUUCAAAGGUUUUAUCAAAAGGGCGUUUUCUAUAAUUUAGACGUAGAAAAUAGUUGAUUUGAUGACGUCGAUUGAAUACUCGAAUUUUCGAUCUUGACGUUUUCGACACAAUAUAAUGUAUUUUUAUAAUUUAAUUUAAUUUAAUCAAUAUCAACUCAAUUUAUUUGAUAUUGGCUAAAUAAAGUAAAUAUAUAUUUUUUGGGUGCGCAAAGAGAUCGUACGAAAUUGUAACAGUGGUGAAGUUUAGACUGAUGAGGGAACCUUUUUUUUUGUAGUUAAACGUCGGGUGAUGUAUACAUUCUUAGAUGCAAGAAAAAAAUUGGCGGGUAAUGCUUCGAAUUUUUGUUCUGUAGUGUGAUUUAAUGAGACCCCAAGUGCUAAUCAAUUAUGGUAGUGUCGGCCUGUCAACUAGUGGCUUGGUGCCAUUUGCCAAUCACUGCUCAAUUCGGAAUAAAAUACAUCGCUUCAACGAGCCUUUCUCUUCUGACGAGAACGACAAAAAUGGAGGAAGAAAUAGUUUUUUUUUUUUUUUCCCCUCUUUUGGGCACUGUGGAAGGAGAAGUAAUUGAAGAAAACGUGUCAGUAUUAUACUUUCGGGUAGGAGUAUUAAAGAACUAAAGAAACUUUUGGGGUAUGCAUUAUGCAUGCUACUACGAUGACAUUCCCUAAAACUCGACUUUCUAAAGAAAAUAGAAAACACCCGGAGGCAAUCAAUUAUGUCAAAUUACCAAUCAUUUCUGUCCAAUGAAAGUCAAAGGCAAUUUGCAUCCAAGGAUGAAAACCAAAUGCAACAAUGGCAUUAAUACUUGGGUUUUUAUCAAUUUACCCCGUUAAACCGUACCUCAACUAUCAGUUUAGUCCCUAACGUUAAGUUUUAGUCACUUAAGUCCUUGGACUAACGGUCAAACAGUUAGUCCAAGGACUUAAGUGACUAAAACUUAACGUUAGGGACUAAACUGAUAGUUGGGAUAUAUUUUAAGGGGGUAAACUGAUAAAAAUUUCAUUUUAUAAUUCACGUAAAAAGAUAUAUUUAGAUCCAAUUUAAUUAUAAAUGGACAAAUAUACCCAUAAAUUGCCCUACUAACUAACUAAAGUUUGGUGAAAAAUUUUAUGACAAAAAUAUCCUCUCCUAACAAGGAUUAGAAAGCUUUUCUCUCCUCUAUUUUCUUAAAUUGUUUACAAAAUUUUUUAUUUUGCGCAAUAUCUUGUCAAGACAUUGCAAAUAUGAUGAUAUCGAAGUGUGGGAUUUCAUAACCUAUUUGCACGUCAUCAAGCAAAGACAAUCUUAGAAGGAAAAUUUUAUAAUUAUUCCAUUAUAAGGUUUAUUUUUUCUCAAGUGAUAUGUUACUAAAAAAAUUUUCCCUAGUGGUCCUUUUCUUUUCAUAAUUUUCCAAAUUAUAAGAACAUGCGAGUUUUUCCAGAUUGAAACAAUUCUCACAUAUUAGCAGGGCAAUUUAUGGGUAUAUUUGUCCAUUUAUAAUUAAGUUGGAUCUAAACAUGUUUUUUUACGUGAAUUAUAAAAUGCCUUCUUAUUUGACCUUUAGUCCAAGGACUUAAGUGACUAAAAGUUAACGUUAGGGACUAAACUGAUAGUUGAGAUAUAGUUUAAGGGGAUAAACUGAUAAAAACCCUUAAUACUUUCUAGUAUUUUUGUCAUUAGGAUUGGGGAGCAAAAUAAAACCAAAUGCAACAAAAUAUUAAUAUAUAUUGCUUUGUAUCAAAAUGAUUGCCAAUAUGUUACACAGAAGAUUCCGUAGCAAAAUUGAUUUGUAUCAUAAUGAUUGCAGCUGUUCGAGUACCGGUGAAAACCAACGCAACCCGCGAUUAGUAGUAAUGUGCACCCGUUUCAAACUUUAUAUACAAAAAUGGAUAAUUCCAUAAACCUCCCCUGAGAUUUUUAAUAAUUACACUGGCCUCUCUUAAGGUUUGUAAAAUUAAUACUUACCUCCCUUGAUGGAAUUGCAAACCCAAUUACUUAUACUUUAUAUGGGAAAAAAUUACUCAUAUACUUUAGAAUAUUAUGUCUUAUUAGAAACUAAUAUCUAACGAUUGAAUAAUUAGAGCACUAAUUAAUUAUUAGUAACUAAUUAAUGGAAGUAAUGUUGAGAAUUUUUUUAAUGAUAAAUGGUGACUUACAAUUACAAAAUAAUGCCAAUUGAUGCACCAAAUGAUAAUAUUUUGUGAUUGAAAAAACUUGUCAAUGACAAAAAACAAGUUUGUACGCAAUGUGAGAAGAGAUUAUUUGGUAAAAGGAAAAAACACAAGAGAAAAGAAAGGUUGUUCACGAGCAAGUGUUUCUUAAAACUCUUAAAGUUAUGAUAAUUGUAAACUAAUUUCGUGGAAAUAAAGGAGAAAUAACGGAAAAGAAAGACAAAAUUUGAAAUUUUUUUAUUUUCAAAAUCACAAUAAUUAUAGCAAACCUCAUAUUAAAAUAUAUGACUAGUUUGUUUUAUUGAAUCUUGUGAUCAUUAAUGUAGUUUUGUUGUUUAUUUGUGUUAUCUAAUAUAUUGAAUAUGAAUUUUUUGAAUAGUAAAAUAUGUAAGUUAAUUGUUUUUAACUUUUAAUUAUUUUCAUUCUUUCACUAAUAUAACUUAUAUGCACGCAUAAAAGGGGUAUUUAUGGAAUCAAAGUUUCAUCUCUUUUUUUAAGAUACUUUUUUAAUGUUACUUUUUAUGAUUUGGACUAAUUUUGUUACAAAAUCUUAACUUUAGGGGAGGUUUAUAUAAUUUUACAAACCUUAGGGGAGGAAAGUGAAAUUAUUAGAAAUAUCAGGGUAGGUUUUUAAAAUGAUCCCUAAAAAAGGUAAUAUUCCUUAAAAAAAAAAAACAUGUAAUACGCACAUUUCCUAAACUAGAGCUUUGCCUUUCUACCCCAAAAAGCGCCAAGUUUUUCCUCUGCCUGCAGAAGAAAAACUGUAAACAAAAAUAGGGGAGAAAACAGAGAGAGGAAGAGAAGCAAGUCCACAGGAAAAGAGAGGGAGAGAUUCUGAGAGUCAAGGAAGAGUCUCAAUCUUGAAAAAUCUCGUGGGUUUCUCUUCAAAAAUUGAUGUGCACGUGCAGUCAAAAGAAAAGAUCAUAGAUUGAAAGGAGGGAGAAAAGCAAAGAAAAUAAAAGAGAGAGGAUAAAGAGGGAUUUUUGUUUCAAUUCUUUUUUUAAGGGGGUUGAGAAUAGAAAUAUGUCAAACUCCGCAUCAAAUCACGGUAGUGAUGGCGGCGGUGGUGGAGGUAAUGGCAGCUCCGAGACCCAAGUGGUGCUUAAUGUAUAUGACCUGACCCCUCUCAAUCAUUAUACAGUUUGGUUUGGUUUUGGCAUCUUCCAUUCUGGCAUUGAAGGUGAGAAAAAGUAAACACCCCACAAAUGUUAGGAAAGCAAAAAGAGUUCCUUUUGCUUAUUGGAUUUAUGGAUUUGUCUUAGAUUUAACUUUGUGUUGGUUUUUUCAAAUGACUAUGAUUUUUGGUUUGGCUUACGUUCUGGAUAUGCUUUCUGGGUUUGUAUCCUUUUUGUUAUACCUGAGUCAUUUGAGAGUUGCUCACGGGAUAGGGAAUGGAGUUUUUCUUUUUCUUGGGGCCUUAUUUGUGUAGUUCUUUUGAUUAUGGUGGAUGAUCAGCUUGGUUAUUCUUGAGCUUGAUAGCUGGAAUUGGAUCUUUUUAUCUCUGAGAUUUUACAUGGUAGGAUUGUAGCUUAAUUCGAAUAACAUACAUUUCGAACUUUAAUAAGAACCAGAAUGCAGCCUUAUUCCACUUUGCGCAGUUGAAAUCUCAAUUGAUUUAAGUUGAUUAAUGUUUUGCUUUUUAGACUUCGUGGUCUGUUUACAUUGCAUCGUGAAUACAAGGAUCCUAAUGCCUGGGCUACCUUUCAUCUGUGAAAUUGCACGUAGUUUGUUUCCAUUUAUAAAAAUCUAUAGGGACACUCCCAGGAUUUAUUUGGCCAUGAAUUUCGUACCAGGUUGAUGAGGUUUCACUGAUGGAAGAGACUAAUUAGAUGCUAAGUUUCACAGCUCACUACAUACAGGGAUGGCAAGGGUGAGAAUAUGACUGAUCAGAUUUUGAUUUUGAGUGGCCUUUUCUGCUAGGAAUAAUUUUCUUUGUUUGAGUUUUAUUUGGUGGGUAAUUGACCAGAAUUAUCUGAAACUGAUGCAUGGUAUAAUAUUGGACCCGAACGAGAGACCUCUGCUCUUUCUCUCCAUCCUUUUUUUAACUCAUUUUUUGUGUCAUUCAUGUUAAAGUACAUGUUGUUUUGAGAAACUUUCAUUAUGUAUGGCUUAAGUAAAUCAAAGGGUGGAAAAUAUCAAAAUUUUAAGAGCACAUAGGUAUGGAAGAUUCUUAUUUAGAGAAAAACGUCAACAGCAUACAUGUUGAAUAUUUCUGUAUCACUCUUAUGUGAUGGAAUGCACCAAUUUGCAGUUCAUGGGAUGGAAUAUGGGUUUGGAGCACAUGACUUUCCCAUCAGUGGAGUCUUUGAAGUGGAGCCCAAAAGCUGUCCUGGUUUUAUUUUUAGAUCUUCUGUCCCACUGGGUCGAAUCAACAUGCCUCCGUCAGAAUUCCGUACUUUCAUUGAGAGUGUGGCUUCUGAGUAUCAUGGUGAUACCUAUCAUCUCAUCUCCAAGAAUUGCAAUCAUUUCACAGAUGAUAUGGCCCGAAGGCUUACAGGAAGAGGAAUACCUGGGUGGGUGAACAGGCUGGCACAUAUGGGUAUAUCUAACUCUGAACAAAAUUUGAACUCUUCUCUAUACAGAAUUUUCUUACAAUCAUAACUUGGUCUUGUAUGGCAACUGCAAUAUAUAGGCUGAUAUGUACAGCUUAUUAGCUUUUAUUGUUCCGGAUUCAGGAACCUAAGAUUCUGGUCCAUUAUUUUUCUUCUAGAUUGUUCUUGCGAAAACCCUAGAAUUAGGUAUCUUGAUUCUGGAAAGUUUUUUUUUUUGCAAAUACAGUUUGCUCGAGUUUUAGCUACAGCAGCAGACAAACUUCUUUCACAAGUAUCAUAAUGUUCUUCUAGCUUUACACCUAUCAUCUCUAUGGAGCUAUUGAGUUAUUGGAAAACCUUUUCUGCAAAGGCAUGUAUAUGGAGAUGUGAAAAGGAACCUUGUUCACUUAUUGCAGAUGAAUUUAUAUUUCUUUUUGUUGGUCUCAUUGGGAGGAACGUUGGUCUGCUGUGAUCAUAAAGUUACUUCUGCUAGAUUUAGCAAUGUUAUUGACCAUGACAACUUGUCUUCCAUUGGAAACAGAAAUAACAUAACGUAUUAUUAGUAGGAUUUUUGUUUCCCUAGAAGUUUCUGCUCUGGAAUCUGCAUAUCUCAUGACAGGAUAGAUUCCUGAACUACAUUUACUAUUUCUAUUGCUUAUUCUGUCAUCACUGAUAUAAUAGCAACAUCUUUUGUGGUACUAUUGUGUGAUUUUGACAUUAUUCAUACUUUAUGUCCAAGAUAAUCUUAGAAAUACUGGCUUUUGUUGAACUUCAGGUGCUUUCUGCAGUUGUCUUCUCCCUGAAAGUCUUCAAGCAACCACUGUUAAGCAGCUUCCGGAGUACCACCCAGGUACUGCUAAGCAGCCUGUUCUUUGUUUCUGCAAUUCUUUAAAAAUUUGAAUGGCUCAACUCUGCUUCUUAAAAGAAAACAUAUUAUACGUCUUGAUGCCUUGCCGCUAUUCCGACUGUCUUUUCUUUAUCUUUUGGCACAUUCAUUGUAUUUCUUGCUACUUCCUGAUAAUCUGGUACUUGUGCAAAAGUAUUAGGAAGUAAUAACCUUUUUUUCCCCAAACACUUGCAUAAUUUCUAGAAGAAGAUGGGAGUGCUUCUGUCUCGAGUAAUACAGCUCAUGAAGCUACAGAAAGUGAAGAUGGUGAUCAGGACAAGCACCUGCUGUCACCAUCAUCUGGAUAUGGAGAAGUAGCCUUUAUAAAAGAGGUGUCAAGGUGAUAUGAGGCUCUGUUGAUGAGCCCGGAGAUGGUACUGUUCUUUUCCAAGGAGUGGUGCAAUCUUUGCGGGAUGUAAUGCGUGAAAAAUUUCUAGUGCAAAGACAGUAAGACAUUGAGACCAGUUGCUGCUGAUGAAAUUGUGUUAUUCCUUGGGUGAUUUAGUGUUUGUUAGGUUCAUUGUGUUUUUCUCGCUUUCUAUAUGGUUUUUAUUUUGAAGUCAAAGAACUUAGAAUUCAGAAGAGAAAUGGUUGAUCGUAGUGGUGAUCCCUACUGUGGAGCUCUCAGAAAUAUUUGGUAGUUGGUCGUUUUCUUGGAACAUCGCAGAUGGCAUCCGUACAUAUGUCCGAUUGUAUUAUCCGGGAGGAAGGAGACAUGAGCAAACAGGUUAGAGAUAUACAAAUUCCCAGCCCCUGAGUUCAUUCUUUGUGGGGGUCAUAUGGCCCAAGCAGCAGUGGAAAGGUCGGCAACUGGUCGAAGUGCUCAUCACACGAGUAACUAGUGCAACAACCGUCUUCCUUAUUGUUAUUCACUGCCUUUCGUGUUGUGCCAUAAGCCAUGUAGCUUUGUAACUUUAUCAAAAUGACUUUGCACUAUUCAUGAGACCUUUCCGUCUAUUUUUGGCUGUGACUAAUGUGACAAAGCUGCAACCCUUUGCGAAGGUACUGUUAACCACCGACUCAACCGUGACAAAUCUGCUAUAGGAGCAUCUGCAUCUGAAAAGUAGGCAGGUAAAUGGUUUUAAAAGUUAAAACUUCAAUUUUGUUGGUGUUGCAGUGUCCUCGAGGCAUUACUAUUGUUAGGCUUUGUGCAUUUCGUAGACGGUCAUUUAAUUUGUUAAACUCUGUUGGCAGCAACGGAAUUGCCCUGUCAAUGCGUGCUUUUAGAAUUGGCUGCAGUACCAUUAUUUAGGCAAUUACGCUAGUUUCAUAACAGGGUAAGAAAAUUAGCUCUAGCUUUCAUUUAAAAAAAAAAUUUUUUUUUUUUUUUUUUUGCACAGAAACAUCAUGAUAUUCUAACGUUGUAAAAUUGUUAUGAGAUGCUUGAAAGACCAGCAGCAGCAGCACGAAAUACGUAUUGUUGUGUCCUUGGAAAACAAGGUCAGAAAAAUUAAAUGAUGCGACCUGAUAGGACGUCCAACAGCCAUGGUGGGACAGUAACAAAGGAGCAUUACAUUGCGGAGCAAAUUGUGGAACAAAACGACUCAGCAUAGGACAACUAGAGUUUAAGACUGAACGGCAGUCAAUAAUGGCCACUCUCAAGUCUUUCGACAAGCUGUGCAUAUAUCAAAUAUUUAACAUAAUUGUCAAUCUCUAAAUUAAUAAUGAUCCACAAGAAGCAGGAGCUACAUCACCAAUUGCUCCUCCGAAAUUCAUAGUUUCCCCUCGAGCCCCAAUUUUGAGGUCAGCCAUGCACCCACUUCAUCCAUCUCCUCUGGGAUAGUGUAGUGCCCAAGUCUGCUCAACAAGAGACUCAAAAAAGUCACAUCGAAGUUCCACAAGUCAUAGGUUUUUAAACAGCAGCAAUGUACAUACCCACUGUAGGCUUUGAAUGUCACAUCUCGAAAUCCAGAUGAAAUCAAUGUCUGUGAAGACUUCUCACCAAAUUUAAAUGGAACGACAUCAUCUCCUGCAUUAGAUUACACCAAAUCAUUGCAGCUUAUGCCACACGAAGUAUGAAUACCAGAGAUAAAGCUAUAAUCAAACCAUUAGCAUCAUAACUAAAACCAACACCGUUACGCUUUCACACAUUAGAACAAAGCAGGUGAAUUAAAAAGUUAGAAACUUUUGUUUAGUUUAAGUGUUUUUUUUUCUCCGUUUUUCUUUUGGGGCAGCGGGGAGUUGGGGGGGAAGGGGGUGUUGUUUUAUGGACAAAAACUUUACUUUUAAUUACUAAGUACUUUCAAGAGUAGUUUUAGGAGCAGAAACUUUUUUUGUUUUUAACAAAACAUUAGACUAGAAUUCAUUGAAAUAUGAGGCACCCUCCCUCCCAGAAUCAUCGAAUAACAACUAGAAUCACAUCAAAUUGCAAACUGAAAACCUUCUACUUUUGUCAUAAAUUACUUAGUACCUCUGCCAUGACACAGUAGAAUAGGCAGGGAUGCAGCACGGUUUGCAGCCUCUUGCAACCCUUCUAUUCUCUUACUCAGACACCUGGGUAGAAGUAGAAGUUGAUUGAAACAAAAAACACACACUAUCAUUUUCCAGAAGUACAAACUUUUCCACAAGUACAAGCUUCCAUCAGAAAAGGUUUAAAAGUCAAACUUUGCACACGGGAGCCAUCCACUCAAUCCAACAACAGCACUCAAAUUCACUGCAUACGGAUUUCCAUUUUCAUAUUUGCUUUGGGCAAAGCAAGUUGCAGAGUAGAGGGCUGUUGCUGCACCCAUGCUGAAGCCUCCAACCCCAAGUUCGACUGCAAGUCAAAAGGGAAGAGGUUAGAUGAUCAUACCAACACCAGGGGAAAAGAGUGCUUCAUAAUGUUUGCAUGCAAGGCUGUGCUUGUGUAGUUUAGGUAGUCAUUAACUUGUAUGAGAAGGCAAGAGUGUAUUCAACCUUACAGUAGAAUGAAACAAAUAUUCACUUAUAGCCAAUAUGCCAUUGCAGACAACAUAAUAAUAAACAAACUUGUUGCAUUCAGUAUAGAUGUCCUCCAUUUCUAAUAUAUUUCCAGCCUUGAAUUAGUUUAUUCCAUGUAAGUCUCAGGUCAUAAAAACAUAUGAAGCAAAACCAUCCAAAUAACGCCCAUAGUGAGUCUCUACAGAUCUGUACAGACAUGUAUGUCUCCGUGUAUUCUGAAGCAUGUCUGUUGUUGUCAAAAGAAACACAAUCUCAUAUGUGAAGCCGUAAAAACUCACUCUCAGGAGGUUCAGUAGCCAAUAAACUUGCAACAUAUGCUGCUGCAGCAUCCAAGCCCUCCACAUCAUCUUUAGUAUUUUCAGAAAGGUCAUUGACGUCAAACCCUAGUUGCCAAAAAAAGUGUACUGUUUAGAGAUACUUUCAUUUGCUCAUAAGUAGAAAAUCAUAUCAAGGAUAAGUUAGAUCCCAAUUAUCCAGAGCUUUAAGUUGUAUAGGACAUAAAAAGUAGAAUCAUCUGAUAAAAAUCCUGGUUCUUUCGACACAUGUCCAAAUAAGUUGUCCAUUCUUACGGAACUUUUUCUUUGUGUUUUUUGCAACAUGAUGACAAUAAAAUACCAUCUAAAUCAACAAAUGGUAAGAAACCUGCCUAGUACUUACAGGCUGUUGAAGGAAAGCCCCCAAAAAGAGUUAUUGGUUGCUGUGGGGCAGAAGGGCAGAUCCAUUUAAUCUGCAGAAAUAAAACUCUUCACACUAUAGCACCCAGAGAGAGAGAGAGAGAAGGGGUACUCUGUGCUUUGUCUUUUCUCUGAGUAUGUGAUCAGAGUCAUGAAUUAUGAAAUUCCACAGAGAUAUAAAUACUUACAUUUGGAAGAGGAAGUGACUCCAACAGAGUUGACCAGCUGUGAGAAACCAUCAAAUUUGAUUACAUGAUUAUUCAAGUUACCACCGUAAAGUUUUGGACAUAUAUCACAUUCCAAUCAGCUACUGUACACUAGAUAGACUUGAAUAAAACAGCAAACUUCCUAAAAGCUGACAUGGACAUAACCCAUUACCAUCAGAAAAAUACAUACUAGACAGGACUUUUUAAUAUCAUUACAGCGAUUGUCAACCCAACCAUUUAUCUGAAGAAACUGCCUUUAGUAACAUUUUUUCUUCCUUCAGUUAAAGAAGGAAGCAUCGAAGAUUAUCAAAUAACAGAUUUUACUUUGAACCUCAACCUCUAAUAGCCUUCCAACCCACAACCCGCCUCACAGAAAAAAAAUAUGCAAGCCAAGAUUGACAUGUGACCUUCCUUUAGUAUAAAAUUUCAGAUGUAAGUGGCAAGAGGUUGCAUUAUGUUCAAACAGUUGGGAUUAGAAUAAUAACUGAAACAAACUGCAUAUAGAAAGCAACUAAUGCGGAAACAACCAAAUUAAAAUAGAUACUCUAAUCAUCAGCAACUCUAACCAAAAGCUCAACCAAAAUGAUAUAUGCGAAGGAAUAUGUAUGAAGGAAGCCAAAUGACAUUACCUAGAGCCAUUAUCUCCAAGACCGUGCAGCCAAACUAUUGUUGCCUGGUGUUUGCCUUUUGGCCUGACAACAUAAGUCCUUCCAAAAUUAAAGGCCCUUGUAACAGUUCUACCACCUGUGGAAAUUAAAGCACAUUUGAAUAAAUUUAUACAGAAAGACAAGCACAACCUCACAUGAUAGCAAACAAAAUCAAACUGUAUUUCUCAACUUCUUUGCUAAGAAGAAAGGGAAUGAAAUAGUUAUAUGCCCAAUAUGUUUUCCUCAUACAGCUAAACAACUUCAACUAAACUACUUGUCUGGGCCCUAUAGUCUUUUUCCUUGCUGUACUAGGUAUUAGAUAAUCAAAGAUAAAAAUUCACAUCAUCCGAUAAGGCCCUUGGUACUAUAGGUGACCAUACUAGAGAUUCAAUUAAUGCAGCAGCAGCAGGAGCAAUAAAGAUUAAUUCAAUUGAGAGGAAGUGAUACAGAUAAAGAAACUAACUAGCACCCGCAGAAGGGCCAGUAAAACUCAUAUUUCUUCCGAUACAGGUGCCUGCUAGCUUUUGUCUUGAAAACUGUGCCUGCAGCGAGAGAUCAAGCUCAGUCAUAUACAGCUUUAGAAAGUAAUGGAAUAACAGCAAUAUUUUUGGAUGCAUAGAGGCCAAUAUGACCAAAGGAAAUGCUGUAAUAAGUACGCAGAACCUAAAGCCAACUGCCCUAACUAACUUAUUUUCAGUAAAUUUAAAUCCAAACUUCAUAAGCUUAUACCCCCCCAACAAAAGUUUUACAGUGCAAAUGUGAAAUCCAAGAGAUAACCUGACCCAACUAGCCGUACAUAGUUUUAGCAUCAAAUUAGUACAGAGAAAUUUUCAAGGCAUUAGGGGCUAAAAAGAAAGAAAGAAUGAACAGGAAAGGCAACCAAAGCAAAAGGGCUUAUUCUAGACUAAGGAAUGUUUUAUUAGUCAAUUACCAUCCUAUUGUCCAUGAUUUAGGUGCAGUCUUCGUAAUGCAGAAAAUGGAUAAGCUCAUCAAAGAAGUACAUAACAAUUAAAAGUUGUGAUUUGUUUGUACCAUAAAUUCCCAGAAAACCCAUCUCAAAAAUCUAUAUUGAAGAUGGGACGGGGAACAAUCAGAAAAAAUCGGUAAUCACAAAUUGAUAAAUCUGGACCUGAUAAACCCCACUUCAGCAACUCCUUCAACCAGCCUAAACAAAGAUAUUAAGUAAUACUCUUUCCCAGGAAGGUCACAAGAAUGAGCCAUUUACGUUAGAAAAUAAAAUAGAAAAAGUAAACGAAAAAGAAAAAGAAUGAACUAUGAUAAAAUUGCAGAUAAACAAACAAUUAAAAAGUCAACUUGGAAGAUAGCAAACACUGAAGACAACAAUUAGAUAAGCUUAGUUUGCGUAUGUGGUGUCAAUCAGUGAAUUCUUUGACAUACGAUACAAACCAAAUCUUGAUAAAACAAAGCUAAGAUGCAAUUGUUAGACAGGGCAGGGACGGAAAGGGCAGCCACAGUUACCAGAAGCGUCGAGAGAGAAGGCACAGGAAGGAGUCGUCCUGAGACUGAGAGGAGAUGAAAUAACGCUCGGCGGAAGACGGACAAGACUCCCACAUAAAUGCUCACCAAAAAUUUUUUUAUACAAAAAAUUAAAAAAAAAAAUUUUUUUGUUAGUGUUUAUGUGGUAAAUCAGCCAUGUUAAUCGUUUGUAUCGCCCAUUCUAUAUAUCUAAUCUAAGAUAUAAAAGCGAAAGUUGGAGAAUGAACACUGCCAUUUUGGAAGAGCGGUUAUCACGUAAUUUUCAGCAACUUUGAGGGCAAUUGUCAAGCGAUUAUUUAGUAAUUAUGGGCAACUUUGAUGGCUUUUGUAUUUGUUGGCAACUUUGUUGGCUUUUCUAAUGAUUUUUUUGUACGCUGUUGGCUUUGCAAUUACUGCUUCUGUAUCGAAGCUUUUUGUUCGGCGAGUAAAUUCCUUAGAAAUGCUGAAUUCUUGAUGGAUUGGUUAAUAAUGGAAAAUAGUAAAGUAAGUAAAAUGAUUUCCAGAAAGAUAGUUCUUAUAUUUUGGAUUAUCGAUUUGCCAAGGAAAAUAUGUAGCGAUGCAGAAAUCAAUCUAGAAUUCACUUUAUUUGUUUUCAUUUUUCAAAUUUCACAAUUCAGUGGAACAUAAUUUGUCUCCCAAUCUUUAACCAAAAUUGUCUUCACAAUUUCACUGCCAUCUUCAAACCCACUUGUUUUUUAUGCUCAUAAAAGCAUUUAAAAGAAAAAAGGGGUUGCCCAAUAUCUAAAUAUAUAAAAGGGAGAGUUGGAUAGUGAAUAGUUUCAUUUUGGUCAAGUGGUUAUACUGUAAUUCUUGAGCCAGAGAGAAAAAAUAACAAGUCCAACAUUGUCAUCACAUAAGUAAGCAAAAUCGGUUAAGAUGCCAUAGAUUUCAACUAAAAAUGGUUUCUAAUUCUAUAAUUUUUCCCAACGUACAAUUAGACAGAUAUAUAUUAGUCUAUAUAUACAUAUUUAGUCUAUAUAAUUAUUGGAAAAUUUUUAAUUCCCUUAUUUUUAUUAUUAUACUUUUCAUUUUAUAAAUAUAUAUUCUAUAAAUAUGAGCUUACUUUUGUCUUUUAUGUGUGCUAGAUUAUGGGUCUAUUUCCUUUUUAAAAGAAUAAUUAGUUUAUUAUUUUACUAAUAUAUCCAUGUUUAGUGUAUAUAUAAUUAUUAUAAAAAUUUUAACAUAUUUGUUUUUUCUAAUGGCUCUAAAUUGCUGUAAAUUGAAAAGCGAUGUUGUGUGCUAAUCUUGUUGUAUUAUUUAUUUAAACAUGUAACAUUAAUUAGAUUAUUUCUUACAUUUGAAAAUUAAAGUACUCUAAAUUUGAAAAAUAAUGUAAUAAUACAUGUCUUUUACCGUGGAUUAAUGUUCUAAUAUUAAUGGAAAAAGAAAUAGGCCUAUAUUUAUUGAACUUAGUGACUAAUAGAGAUAUACACAUCUAACAAUAUAAAAGGAAAAGUUGCCCUGUGCAUAGUAUUUGUUUUGUCAAGCGGUUAUCCUGCAAUUGUUAUUGGAUGUUAGGACCAUUUUCAUCAAUUGUCUGUUUGUUUCUUAAUAGCUGCUAUAGUUUUGGUGCAUUUAUCGGACAUGUUGACUAAAUUCAUAAUUGGUGGUGUAAAAAGUGAAACCUAUGAAAGUUGAUUUUUUGUGGUUAAUUAUUUGCUUUUGAAAUGUUCUGGAAAUGCAAAAUUACCUAGGAAAUAAUUGAUAAAUUGUUGUUGACUUUAGUGACUUUAAAAAUGGUUUUUAUUAUUGUGGCAUGAAAUAAAAUUGAUAAAUGUUAUGUAAAUGCACAAUUAUUGAGGAAACAAUUAAUAAAUUAUUGUUGGCUUGACAUGGAAUAAAAUUGUUAAGUGCUCUGUAAAUGCACAAUUAUUGAGGAAACAAUUAAUAAACUAUUGUUGGCUUUAGUAACUUUAAAAAAUGGGUUUUAUUACUGUGACAUGUGGUGAUUAAUUUUUAGCAAUGUCAAGUUCUAUGGUUCAAAUGCUUAAUUGACUUUAGGGAUCCCCUAUUUUUGUAUCAACAAUGAUUAAUACUCUUUGGAAAUGAUUCACUUUACAAUUUUCUAAUUAUCCUAAUCCAAAUGCAAAAUAACCUUAUACAAUUUUCUAAUUUAUCCUUAUGCAUUCUAUAUAAGCGCCCUAAUGCAUUCUAUAUAUUAUUGUUUUCAUGCAUUCUAUAUAUUUCACAACAGUUAACUUUUAACAAAAAUUAUAAUUUCUUAAUGAUCCGCAUGAAUUAAAUAAUAACAGAAAUAUAUACUAAUAAACACAUAUAACAAAAAAUAAUUAACACGGAAAAUAUUAAUCCCCUGCGCAUCGCGCAGGCCGUCUCACUAGAAUUUAAGAGAGAGAGAGAGAGAGAGAGACAGAGAUGGUAUUGGGUUUGGGCCUCACAGUUGGGCUGUGAGUCAAAAUAAAAUAUCCAGUGUCACAGCAUCAUUACCCCGGGAAGAGAUUGAACUGGGCCAAACUCAGAUUCUUUUUCAAUCUGUGAGAAAAUGAUGGUAACAUGAUAGGUUAUAUUUAAGGGUAAAAUACACGGAACCCCCCUAUGGUUUCGCGAAAAGACACGAAACCCCCCUAUCGUUUAAAAACCUCCACAUAAACACCCUAACUUUCAUAACUAAAGUGGAAAUUACCUUUUGAACCGGCUGAGUUACCGGCAGCAGGUCAAAUACUCUCGUCUAACCCGUGGCUUGCUAAAUUAGUAGGAAUUGACAAUCCAAUGUAUAUCCAAAAACGAAACGUAAGCUUGAAAGCUUUGCCUUGAACUUUGAAUCAAAAGCACUCUAAGUGUACACGGAAACCUUUGACAGGACUUGGAAGAAAAAAAUCAAACUGGAACUUGAUAUACCAAAUGCAGACCUUCCCCAUUGAUAUAGCUAGGAGCUAGCUAAGCCAGUUGAACCAUUAAUAUUUGUUGAGGCGAUUUCAGUCUUACGUUAAACGUAGAACCAAGUACUACAUUAAUCACUCCUAAGUCAGUCCCCUCCCCUCCAAUACAAGAAUAUCCACAAACAAGAAGAAAGAGAUAAUGGCGGCAGCUGCAGUAUCCACCACCACCACAGCUUCAUCAGUUGGAGUGCAACAUGGACGUGGACAAACUCACUUGUGAAUUCUUCUCCAUCCUCGAAAACAAGUUCCUUUUUGGGUACGACGAUCCCAAGUUCGUUUCCCACCUCCCCAAAAUUAAUACUACUCCUCCUGCUACUGCUGCCGCUACUGCUGCUGCUUCUCCCCUCAGCACCAAGCACUUCCCAGGCGGCCGCGGCAAAGUCCGAAUCCUCUCCAUUGAUGCUGGUGGCUCCACCGACGGCGUUCUUGCUGCCAAGUCUCUGGCACACCUGGAGGCCACCCUCCGCCGCAAAUCCGGAAACCCAAAUGGCCGCGUUGCUGACUUCUUCGACGUCGCCGCCGGCGCCGGCGCAGGAGGCAUCCUCGCCGCUCUACUCUUUACCCAGGGGAAGGAUGGAAGGACCCUGUUCACCGCCAGGGAGCAUGUUGACAAUGGAGACGGUGGUUAAACUACUAGCCGGGAAAUUAUUCUGUUUAAGGGAUGACAUAUCAAAUCCACCAGCUGGCAGGAAGGAAGCAAAUUUACCAGAAUUGCUCCGGCGAGCAGUCCAAUUAGGGGAGAGAGCAUCGUCAGUGAACUCUGAGACCGUGGGAGCGACAAACUCGGAGGGAUUGUAGCUGCCGACGGGGAUAGAGUCGCGAGCGGCCCGCAUAGGGGAGAGUGGGGCAGCA
rnacentral:lncRNA from 1 species